rnacentral:lncRNA from 1 species
GGGCCUGAUCUUCAUCAUCAAUUUUCGAAUCUAUAUUCUCCAAAUCCAUAAUAAUGGAAUCAAAUUUAUCAAGAUGGGAGAGUAUAGAUGUACCUUCAGACAUCCGAAGCAUAUACAAACUCUGCUUCAAAUAUAGCCGAUUCUCGACUGUCUUCUUCAUAUACAAGGCUUUCAAUUUAUCCCACAUAGCCUUGGCCGAAGUCUCCGUUGCUACCUCACGCAAUACCUCAUCGGAGAGAUUUAGGAUAAUACUGGAUCUUGCCUUCUUAUCCAUCUCAGCAAAAUUUGCAUCUGUCACAUCUUCUGGCUUUUUCUCAAUUCCUUGAAUUGCCAAGUCAACUCCGUCUUGAACAAGAAUGGCUUCCAUCUUGAGCUGCCACAUGCCGAAGUUGACAUUCCUGUCGAAUUUCUCGACAACUGUCUUUGUUAUCGUCAUUGUUGCCACAAAAUCUGUAACCUGAAGUUUGUCUCAAAAACUGGCCAAACAAAUAUGCAAAUCUCGUGAGCGGGCCCCACGGGGAUGAACGGGCCCCACAAGGUGAGCGGACCCCACGGAUGAACGGUCCCCACAGGAUGAGCGGGCCCCACCGGAUGAACGGGCCUACCAGAUGAACCUGUCUUGCAAAAUAUAACAACCAGCUCUGAUACCAGUUUGUUAGGACCGGACCAGGAAAUAGACAAACUCAAGUUAGCACAAAUUAGGCGGUAUAACCGAUCAUAUAAUAGAUAGGCGGUAGAUACCAGCCAUAUAAUAAUUAGGCGGUAGAACCGACCAUAUAAAGACGGAUAACAAAGCAAAUAAAAGACACAGAAGAUUUACGUGGUUCGGUCAAAUUGACCUACGUCCACGGGCGAGGGAGGAGCAAUAUUUCUACUAUGAAAAAGAAAUACAAAAGCCGUAGGAAAGUGGUUCCUAGGCCAAUAAGGCACUUAUAAAAGAGUUUAGAAAAUAUUCCUAAACUCAAAAACAAGAGAGCCUAAAAUAUUUGACUAAAUGGGCUAAAUGACUCAAGAAGCUAAUAGCCCAUAUAACUCUCUUGAGUGGUGCGAGUUAAAACCUUCAGAGGCCUCUUCUAUUUAUAGGAAACCAAAGGAAAAAUUCCUUUAGCUUCUACCGAUGUGGGACGAAGCACCAAAAGCAUUUGGUCAACAAAUGCGGCUUCAACAAAAAUGAAGAGGCAUACGAGCCACAAGUGGUUUCCAUCGGACCUUAUCACCACGGUAAGCCUAAACUGAAAGAGAUGGAGAAGCAUAAGCUAAUUUACUUCAAAGAACUUCUUCGUCGUAGAGGUGAGAGUGCUGAGAAAUACAUCAUAGCUUUGGCUAAUCUUCAAGAUCAAGCUCGAAGGUGUUACGCAGAAGAAAUCAAUCUUAGUAAUGAUGAUUUUGUUGAUAUGCUAUGCCUUGAUGGCUGCUUUGUCAUCGAGUUCUUGAGGAAAAGCAGACGUCGAGGAUCACACUAGCAGAAUGACCCCAUUUGUCAGAUGCUUUGGCUACGCACAGCCACUAAGAAUGACCUUAUAUUAUUUGAGAAUCAGUUGCCCUUUGUUGUCCUGCAGAAACUGUUCGAUAUGACCAAGUCAUCGCGAAGCGAAGAAGAGAACCUUAUUGACCUAGCUAUUGCUCUCCCUCUAUUCUUCAACUUGCCUCAUCGAGAUCUAAAUUCUCAUCCUACAAACUUCGCACAUGAUGAGGCGGUUCAUCUUCUUGGCCUCGUGCACAAAAUUCUGUCUGCCUCAUUUUCUGAAACACUUACUUCAACCACUUAUUCCAAUACUACACACUCAUCUCUGUUCCUAAAAUCAGCUGGUGAGCUCCGACAAAGUGGAAUCAAGUUCGAGAAGGCAGCGGAUGGUAAAUCCUCGUUUCAUAUCACUUUCGAAAAUGGUGUACUUAAAAUCCCUCCUCUAUAUGUGGGUGAUUCUACAGAAUCCGUCUUCAGAAACUUGAUUGCAUAUGAAGAGUAUAUGUCUAAUCCAUUUGAGACAUGGAGGUGUAUAAGUGAUUACAUAUUCUUCAUAGAUUUUCUCAUAGAUUCCCCAUCCAAUGUUGAAACGCUUCGCAGCCAUGAUAUCAUCGAGAAUCUGUUAGGUAGUGAUGAAGCACUCUCUACAAUGUUUAACAAGCUAUGCAAACAUGUCAAUGUUGGCCAGAGAUUCUGUUACACCAGAAUUUUUUAUGAUGUGGACAAGUACUCUCGCAAGCGCUGGCAUAUUUGGAGGGCGCACCUGGUGAGGAAAUAUUUUAAUAACUCGUGGUCUUUCAUUGCGUUUCUGGCUGCAAGUGCCUUGCUUCUCCUAGCAACUGUGCAGGCCAUAUUUUCCAUCCUACAGUAUACGAAACAGAAGUAAGCUAGUUGUGUGAUUUGUUAGUCAUUGUACUUAAAUACGAAUAAAGUCAUUGUAUUUGUAACAAAUUCUUGAUCUGUAUGAUGUAAAGAACUCUCGUGUCUUUGUAUAUUUUCUUAAUACAUCUGUCUAUAUAAGUUUCUAUAUCUAUAUAUGUAUUUGUGCCUGUGUAUGACCAUAGUGGGGGGCUAGCUUUGAGUGUUACCUAGCACUGGUCCAAUCUUAAUUUUUAAUUAUUUAUGUAUUGUAGUUAUUGUAGUUAUUGUAGUUGGAGAGUACUACUAAAUGCAAAGGACGAAGAUGAGAACCCAAUAAACUGCAAAGAAAUAGUUAAAGAAUGAACCUUUAGCAUUCAUCUGGCAAAAAAAAAAAAAAAAAUCCUUGGCAUACUAUUGUAUAGUAUAAUAGAAGUUAGACACCGUUAGAUCGAAAUUCUACCAAAAUUAGUGUACUGAAAACAUCUAAUACUGCAGGAUCUAAUUGUUACUCCUGUGGCUUAGAUAUUUUGUCUCCAAUGUUCUGACCUUUCUCAUGCUGUCACUUCACGAAGCAAAGCAUAUGCUAAAGAAUUAAAGGGCUUAAACGUUGGCUGUUCUCUUCUCUUUUCUUCAUUGGGCUCAGUCGCUCACUAUUUUCUCUCUACAAAGGAAACAUUUCCAGCCAUAUUAAAAUUAUUGGAAAAGAAUAGCUAUGAGCUCAUAUCUCAAAAUUCUUGAAAAUUAAAAUGUUUAAGAAUUUAUACGUCUUAUAUGAAUGAAUACCUUGAAGUACAGAUUAGCUUCUGCUGAGUACAUUAAUAAUAGAAGUGUGGAGGAAAAUAAAGUGUUUUCAUAUAUUGUAAUAUUGGAGAAAAGAACAAAGUGGGUAGACUAUUAAUUACUAAAAAAAAGAGUCAUUUUUCAACUAUUUAAAUUUGUAUACCAAAACUAGAAAAAAAAAAGCUUUUUAUUCUUCAUCGUCCAUAAGAUAACAGCCAAUGUUUCAAUAACGCCACUUAAAUUUUCUUUUUGUACGAUUUACUACAUUUUUCUACGUAAAAUUAGACAUAUGCCACUACGUAAUAUAAAGUGGUCUUACCAAUACAAAUAACAAUAAUAGUAUAAAGUGGACUGCCUAUGAGCUUCCCAUCCCAAAGGACUAAAAGCUUUUUUUUUCUCUAUUUCUGAUCAAGAUUGCUACACGUAAAUUUUUCAAGUAUUUCUCAGCUGUGAAAUAUAUUGGAAAUCUGAUUAGCGAACUAGUUGAAAAAAAUUUCUCCUUUGAAUUGAGUCAUAUUAGCUCAUAUUGUCCUGUAACUGAGUUUUAUAUCUAACUUGGUAUAUAACCGUUAGAUAACUUGGUAUAUAAUCUUUUAAAUUGACUAUACAUGCUGUACCUCUCACACGCACAACACACUCUUGUACCAUUCUUCUUGCACAUGUUACAUAGUUGUUUUCUUUAUGUUCAACGCACAUGGAUACACAUGCAUGUACCAACUGAGCUAGCUCAAUUGGCCACCAAAAAAAGGACUGAGUCCCUCCCUAGGCGUAGGUUAGGGGUUGCCUAACUGUGUUUCCUCUCCAGAAUUUUCUGGAGUACUAUAGUUGAAAGUUAUUUAACUCUUUUCGAGCUUCUAAAUAGAUUAGAUAGAUUCAUCUCCCUUUCAUUUCCCCCUAAUAUAGGACCAAUUGUAAUAAUGUUGUACUCUAAAAAAAAAAAAAGAUACACAUGCCUGCACACACAUUCUCUUAUAUAUACACAAAUACACACACUUAUACACCACUUCUAAAUUGUUUCUUUAUUUUCUCUCUCUCACAUACACGCACACUUUUUUCUAUUUCUUCAAAUACACAAAUGAAGGCAAUUUUUAAAAAAAAUUAAAAAAAAACAAUAUUUGUUCUACAUUAUAAUUCAGUAUUAUAAUUCAAUUAAUUAUCAAACACAUAUAAUUUAAACAAUUCAGCAACUCAAUACUUUCAAUGCUUAACUUUUAGAAUUCAAAUUUUAAAUUUCAGAUUUCAACUUUUAUCAAAUGGUUUCUAGAUGAGGUUUUAUUGAGUUUUCAGGAUUCCAACAUUGAGUUUGCAUGUCGAACAUCUUACUAAUAUAAAUAGUGGUUCAUUUUCUCAAUUGAAGUGCACCAGAGCUGGAGAGAAAGAAAGUAAAUAAAAGAACUCAGUAGUUGAGUGAAUGUUUGAGCAAAUAUCUCAAGAGUGUGACUCCAAUAAAAUUAGAGUGUGAGGCUCAAUUUAGUCUCAUCUAUUAUAAGUUUAUUUUCCGAAUAUUGUUAUUAUAUACACUUUAAACAGGUCAGAGCCUUUGCUUUGCUAAAGUCAACUCAUGAUGUUGGCAUUACGCGGGAAUCAUCUUCGAUAUGGAUACAUAACCUAUGCAAGUGUAUGUUUUCUCCAACUUUGGUGAGCGGCAUCUUCAUGACUCCUAACAACAAAACUAGCAGUGUAUGUUUGGGCUUCCCACAUGGGUGUCCUUUCUGGAAACAAAAAAUUGCUCAUCAUUCAUGUUUCCUCCAUCUUUUGAUAACGAAGUCUGGAAACACAGAACGGUAAUUAGUUAACCACUGACAAUUUCUGAGUUUCUUAAACUUUUCUUCUUGGUCUUUAGUUUGCAUACAAAAUAGAAAAUCCAACAUUAUGUCCACAUUAUGAUUCUUAUAAGGAACAGGAACAGUUUUCCAGCUAAUACUAUACAUCCUUGGUAACUGGAAUUUGACAAAUUUUUUUCCACGUUUUUAAGGUACGGACCAUACAGGCUCAAAUUAAGUUUCGAAGCAUGAAUAGAUUCCAUUUAUAUGUAUCAUCUUGUCGAAGUGUUGAUCAUCUGACUUCUACGCUUCAUAGCUUUCAUCUAUAUCUUGCAAAUUAACUUUGGUGUAUGAAUAAGAUUUUCCUUUUCUUUACCUAAGAGUGCUUCUGCAUUCAAUUUGGUUAGGAACUAAUUUUGAAGCUCUUCUUUGUUAUUCAGAGAAUUUUAAUCUACUGUCUGAUCAAAAGGUAUGUUGUGGUAUAAGUCAACUGUACCCAAGAAACAACAAGUUUCACCAGUCACCAAAAUGCACAAAAAAAAAGGAAUUUUCUGAUAGUCAUGUAGCGCUUGGACUUGCUAAUUUUGUGAUUCAUUCUAAUAGGAAUCAACCAAAAUGCUUAAAUUUGCUGAUCCUUCUUGUUGUUUCUCCUGUAGCAAUUUUUCCUGCUGUUUAUAUGUACUCAACAAAGAUGUCCGAAGACAUAUCUGACGAAAUCUCCGUUCGCAUUGAUGAAAAGUGUUCUGACCUAUCGGAUGCGUGGAGAAGGCAAUCGAUCUUCAAAGUCCAUAGUAAAUGACGGGACUUUUAUAUCAAUGCAAGUUCAAUUCCGAUUUUACACCCGUUGGACUGCAAGUAUACAGGUCGCAAUUGUAGUACAAGAUGUGUAUCGGGUCGAUCCCACGAGGAGCAAUUUAAACAAUUACUAAGCUCUUGUUUUCUCUAUUAUUUAGACUUACAAAUAAAUUGAGCAGAGAAAGUCUAAUGCUGUAAUCUACAAAUCUGAUAUACAAAUCUAGUUUAACAAAUGAUUAAUGCAAAUAGAGAAAUUUCACUUAAGGAAGAUUCUAGGGAUGUAGAUUCUACUUAUGGCAUAAACAAUACAAAUGAAUGGAUUUACUGCUUGCUAUUAUUCUUAUUUAACCAGAGAUUCAUUUCCAAAUUUACCAAAUCUCAUUUUCAUGAUGAAAUGGCCUAGAGCAAUAUAGAUUUCCCUAUUUUCAUGGUGAAAUACUACUACUACUCCGUUUUACUUCAUGAAAUGCUAAAUAAUCCACCUAAGUGUAUUUCUAUUUUCAUGAACAUACAACUUAAGCUCUACUCAUGUGUUUCCAUUGUUAUUACCAAUUCUCAUUGAACAAUAACAACUAUAAACAAGCUAUUGGUGAUCAAUCAACAACACGUAAUCAUAGCUACACAAGUAGACAAGUUACUACAAGACAUAACAAGUGUAAAUCAUAUUCAAUUCAUAUUAUUUAGCCAUAAGUUUCAUCUACUCCCUAGAUUAAGGGGUUUAGCUACUCAUGAAUGAUUUAACAAUCAAACUCACAAGUUUAUUAAUGCCAAACAUCAUGAAGUACAAGUACAAGAAAGAUAAAAGAAAGCUUAGCCAAUUGAAGGUGAAGCUCUCCAACUCCUGCUAUGCUCUUGCACAAUAUGAUUACAAGUGAAAAACUCCAAGUACUUCUCCAAGAACUCCUAUCUAGAGAGAAACUAGAUACCAGAAAGAAAACUAGCUACGUAUGGUCUUCUUUUGCUUCUCCCCUGUGUUUCUGCAUAAAAGGUGGUAGAAAGUCUACCACCUCCCACUUCAUAAUUUCUUCCACUCAGAUUUUGUAAAAAGAAGUCAAAAAUAUGAUAUUUCCUUUUGUCCAUACUCAUUUGGUCUUCUCUUUUGUUGCAGAAGCAUGUGCCACCGAUUUCUGUCCCUCAAAAUAGCUGGAAAAUUGUGAAAAAGGUAAAGAAAAACGGCUGUGGCACUUGCUGAGGAGAGAGACAGAUCCAAGCCUCGGAUCCGAGAGUUGAAAAAGGAUCCGAGCUCGGAUCUUCAGGAUCCGAGGGUUUUCAUAAUGGAUCCGGGGUCGGAUCGUCCUGACCUCGGAUGCUCUCCGCCAGAAGUACAGACGAGGGUUCGGAUCCAUCUUGUACACACGAAUCCGAGCUCGGAUCCGUGUUGACCAAUUUUCCAGUUUUUCACUUCUUCUCUUUUUCUACAUUUUUGCUCCCAAUUUCUUGUGUACUUUGUCCUCUGGAUGACCCUUACAUUUCUUUCAACUUGUGCAUGAAUUUCAUACAUCAAUUACCUUCACAAUUUCACAAAAUUAACGCAUUAAUCCACUAAUUUAUCAAUUUUUGAAACCUUAAUCAAUAUUUAAGCAAUUAUUACCAAAAGAGUUCAAAUAUGGCUUAAUCUUCUCAAAACAUACCAAAAAUUAAUGCCAAAUUCAUACAAAAUGUACGUUAAAUAUUCACUUAUCAAAUUCCCCCACACUUGAAUCAUUGCUUGUCCUCAAGCAAUUUUUCACAACUUACUUCAAUGUUUCAAUAGAUAAAACAAUAUACGUACUUUUGUCAAAUUUAAUUCCUCAAAAACCUAGAAACCAAUCAUUAUGCCAUUUCUCAGAUUACACUAAAUACUCAUAAUAUUCAAUUAAAUAAAAAUAAUUAUGCCUUAAUUUCAACAAAUUCAAAUCAAUUCUCUCACUCUAUCCUAAUUUCACAAAUAAGUAAAUCACAUAGUCAAUUUUAUGGCCUUCCUCAUCCCAAAACUUAUCAAUUUAGAGGGAUUUAUUCACAUUUCUUCUUAUUUAAAUAGUGAAAAUGUCUUUUUACGCGAAAAUCAACACUUUUAGGUGAAAAUUCCCGGUUACUCAACAUUUCACUUAUUUAAAUUGCUAAGCAUACUCUUAAUUCCAAUACCUUUUUACGCGAAUGUCGACAUUUGUAAAUGCCAACCCCCGGUUACUCAGUAUGUGAAUCAUUGGAGUAGCAAAAUAAUAAUAUUAUUCUCUUUUUUUUUAACAUAUAAUUUCUUUUUCCCUCUAAGUAUAAUUAAAGGAAGAAUUUGGCCUUGUCUUUGACUAUAUCAAUCACUUACUUAUAAAAUUAAGUAAAAAUGAUAAAUAUCAUUAAUUUUGCAAAAUUCUAAGCAUAAUUUUUCUUAUUUAACCAAAUAUACUUUCUAAAAUGUAAAUAUCCUAAUUGCAUAAUAAUUCAUUCCAAACCAAAUAAGAACUAAACUUUUCCAAAAUACACAUAGCAUUUUAUCCAAUGGAAGAAUUAGACACUUAAAAUUUUAAUAUUUUGGCCAUUUAAUUGGAAGAAUUGCAAUGAAAUAUUGGAAAAUUUUUUAGAAAAAUUUUGACAGAGUUUCCCCAUAAAAAUGGAUGAAACUCCCUGCCAACAACCUCAAUUUUCACAAAAAUUAUCCUCAUGACUAUCUCCACAUAUAAUUCCAACAUUUUUAAGCCAUAAACAACUAAAAUCAUGCAUUUCAAAACACAAUCACCCAUAAGAUAAGUAAUCCCUCCCCCACACUUAAAAUCUACAAUGUCCUCAUUGUAGAGGAAGGUAAAAGAACUGAAACUUCCCUCACAUAGGUGGUGAUGCAAUUUGAAGCCCUUACUCAUCACGAUCAUCCAAUUUCUGUUCAAAAUGAGACAACAAAGGUACCAAACACCAUAAGUAGCACAAGAUGAUUUAAAUUAAAGAAAAAGCUACAAAGUUUGUCUUAACAAAAGAAAAGAAAAAUAAAGAAAUAAAAGGUCUAAUUCGCUAAAAAGUAUCAUGGCUGCUGGGAACGAGGGUCUACUGCCUCCUCGGCUCCAUGAGGUCCCUGUGAGAUACCCAUAUGGCCCUCCUCCUGAUGAGGUGUCGGUGUAGGGGACCGUCGGAUAUGAAAAUGAUCCUCGAUCGCACGAAGACAGCGAUCAUGUCGGUCGAGUCGCUCAGUCAUCAUCCGUUUCGUCUGGUCAAUGCGCUCGAUGACUCGCGUUUCCAUACAGCAAAUAGCAUUGAAAAGCUCUUGCCACUUGGAGAGCGUUUGAGGAGGUGGUCAUGGAACCGGAGGAGGAAGAGUCUGCUGUGCCUCCGUCUCUUGAGUUGCCGCUUGUGGUUCAGUGUGAGGCGGAGGCUGAGUAGAAGUUGAUGCUUCUCCUGUGUCCCUGACCAAAGCAGCUCCAAAAUCCGUAGAAAUACCCAAGGAUUUGAGUAUUGAAGCAUUUACCUCCUCGGCCGACCUAGUUACCACAGCUCUCUCGGUUCCAAUGGGAAUCUUGAGCUUCUCAAAGAUGAGGGAGAGCAGCCGAGGAAAUCCAAAACAUGUCUCGCCGGCCCUCAUACGAGCUGUGGUUCGUAUAUAGCUGAUGAUAAUGCUGGGUAGAGGAAUACCAGUCAACUGCCUACCCACUCCAUGUAUCAUUUUAUCCAGAAAAUAGAGAUCGCUAUUUCGGAUCUCCCGUUUGCCACUCUUUUUCGGCACCACAUUGAAGGCAAAAAGAUAGAAAAUCAGGUGGUACCGAUGCUCGAAGGAGUCGGCAUAUACCGUGAAUUUUUUCGAACUUUCUCGCUCACGGUAUUGACCCUUUAGACGCCCCACGGCUUCUCCCACUUGCCAAGGGUCUCGAGCUUUGAAUUCCUUGGUCAGUUUGACAUCUUCGCCUUCGUCCAUUAGUUGAACAAAUUGUCGCAGUGCAUCUCGAUUGAGAACCACUCUUUUACCUCGAACCCACGAGACGAUGAGGUUGCCACUGUGGCUCUGCUUGUUCUCCACAUUGGCAUAGAAUUCCCGAACCAGGUUGGGGUAGUAGUGCUUGGGCAACUGAAGGAUGUUCUCCCAUCCAAGUCUCUUGAAUACUGUCGAAAUGUGGUAGUGCGCAUCCACCUCUGGUGCCAAGUGUUUCUCAAUUAUGAUCUCCUUGUCCAGUCCAGCUUCAUACCACUCUUGGUUUUCGAGCGAUGUGAAUCGUGUGGUAUCGUAGUUUGGCGGUGGCUCGUCACGGCUAGUGGGUGCGGUCUUCCGGCGAGAGCGAGGUGGCGGCUCUGGCGAAGGAGAUUCUUCUUCAGGCGACUCCUCUUGCAAGGAAGGGGUGUGUUCCUCACUUGAAGAAGGAGUAGGAAUGCGAGCCCUCCUUGUACGAGUCAUAGUACCUAUAAACAAGAUGAGUAUUUAUUAGAAAUGAUAGAAACUUGCUCAUACAUGUUAAAUAGGAAUUUAAGAAAAUUUCGGCAGAGUUUCCCCUUGAAAAAUGGCUAAACUCCCUGCCAAACUGUACCAAAAUUUAAACAAAUAAACUUCCUAACACUUCUCAAAUCCAAUUCCCACAUGUAGAGAGGAUAUUACCAAUAAGGAAAUCAUUUCAUGCAUAUUAAGUGCAAACAAUUGAAAAUUAUAUCCAUUUGCAAGAAUGAACACUCAAACAUUUGAGAAUAUCUCCAAUCCAAUUCAUCACACUCAUAACACUCAAUAAAAAAAACACAUGAGUUCCAAUUCAUCCAAACAAAUACUAAUUAUCUCAAGUAAAAGUGGUUUAAUAUGCUUAACUUAAUUGCAAACAUAAUUUUUUUUUUCAAUGGGCUUUUGCUCUAAUGAUAGCAUGUCAUUAAUAUAACAGUGAUUUAUACUCCUCGGAACAAGUUCAUAUAUCCAAUGAAAAUAAAAUUCACAAGUCUAAAUCACUGAAAUGCUCAAGCCCAAAAAUUGAGAAAAAUCUUAAAAAUAUCACCAAAUCCACAGUUUUCUCAAAAAUAAGCAUGAAAAUAGUUGUAACAAUCUAUUUAAGCACAAUGUAGCACAAUUAUAUCAAGAAAUUCCAACAAAUAUGCAUUUAUCAUAAUAUUCCCAAAAACUAAAAAAAAUGCAAAAUUAGAAGUUAUGAAAUCUCAGAGAGAAUUGCAAAUUGUUACCUCAAAUGUGUAGGAAGAUGCUAGAGGAAGAUAAUGAUGACAAAUGAGGAAGAAAACAAGUCCAAAUUCACCCUCAAAUUUGAAAAAUUCAGGUGCGGCCCGAAUGCUUUUGUGAUGAUUAAAUUCCCUCAAAAAGAUGUUUUUGAUUUGAAAUUAUUGAGGGUUAAUGCUCACAAGAGUAUUUGGGAUGUUUUUGUUGAGAAAGAUCAAAGGAUUAAUGGGCAAAAUGGAAGAUUGAUGAAGGUGGGUUAGGGUUCGGUGAGAGAGAAAGAGAGAAGAGCUGGAAAAUGAGGAACCGAGGCCUCGUUUCCUUUCUUAUCGCGAAACGAUCCGAGGUCGUAUCUGUUCUGGAAAGCCUCGGAUCCGACAGGGCUCGGAUCAGUCCCAACAGAAACACAGACGAGCCCUCGGAUGUAUCUGGAUUUUUUUAGAUCCGAGGUCGUAUCAAUGGAUCCGCGGUCGGAUUUGUCUGGCUUUUUAGGAUCCGAGCUCGGAUCUGUGUUUUUCUGCACUAAUUGCAGAAACUGCAAUUUUUUCCAAACUUUUUCUCCCUUUUUCGGCCAAUUCCAAAUUACACAUUGGACAUACCUUUUCUCAAUUCCAACCUACCACGCACAUGUAAUAUACCAUAAACAUAAUAUCCAACCUCUCAGAACACAACAAACACAUCUACAUUGAAAAUCGAGGGGUGAGGUUCUUUGAUCAUUUUUGCAUUUUUACACUAAAAUGGCAUUUUUGGGUAUUAAAUGUACAUCAAAUGAGUCCAUGAGCCUUUAUAACCAUGAUAUCACCAAAACUCAUUUGAAAUGCACAAUGUAUGUAUAUGCAUGGGAAUUUUAAGCAUUUAAAACACAAUUUGGUAAGAAAAGCUCCCUUUUACACAUAUUCUUCAAGUGCACCACCAAGAUGGAAGAUAAAACUCCCGUACCUCCUACAAACAAGUGAAAUAUAUCUAAUUAGUCAAUUAAAUCACACCAAAAUGUAAGAAACACAUAAAAACACACAAAUACACUAUUAUUAUUGGGUUGCCUCCCAACAAGCGCUUUUGUUUAUAGUCGUUGGCUCGACUCUCCUAUAACUUCUUUAAUUCUACAUUGUAUUUCCUAAGGAGUAAAUUACUCCUUUAGGAACUUUUUCUCCGGCCAAAUAGGGUUUCAAUCUUUGUCCAUUUACUUUAAAUGGAGAACCAUUUUCUCCUUUUAUUUCCACUGCUCCAUAAGGAAAUACUUGAGUUACUUCAAAUGGUCCCGACCACAUUGACUUCAAUUUUCCUGGAAAUAACCUCAAGCGUGAGUUGAACAAAAGUACAUUUUGCCCUACCUGAAUUUUUUGGGAAUAAUAUGCUUGUCAUGCCAAUAUUUGAUCUUUUCUUUAUAAAUUUUUGCAUUUUCAUAUGCAUGUAGUCGGUGUUCCUCCAAUUCACUUAGCUCAAGUAAUCGCUUUUCUCCUGCAAAAUUAAAAUCCAUGUUAAUAGAUUUAAUUGCCCAAUAAGCUUUGUGCUCAAUCUCUACAGGUAGGUGACAAGCUUUCGCAUAGACUAAACGAUACGGCGACAUCCCUAGGGGUGUCUUAAAUGCCGUUCGGUAAGCCCAUAGUGUAUCAUCUAGCUUUGUAGCCCAAUCGUUGCGUGAUUUAUUCACAGUUUUCUCCAGAAUAAGCUUUAUCUCUCUAUUAGCUAGCUCUGCUUGUCCAUUGGCUUGAGGAUGAUAUGGAAGUGAUGUCUUGUGCCUACAACCAUAUUUAAACAAUAAGGAAUCUAAUUGUUUGUUACAAAAAUGUUUUCCUUCAUCACUUACUAUGGCCUUGGGUAUACCAAAUCUACUGAAAAUAUUCUUUUUAAGAAAUCUAAGUACAAUCUUAGAGUCAUUAGUAGGUGAAGCGAUUGCUUCUACCCAUUUAGAAACAUAAUCCACUGCUACUAAGAUGUACUUAUUAUUAAAAGAACUAGGAAAUGGUCCCAUAAAAUCAAUACCCCAUACAUCAAAUAACUCAACUUCCAAGAAUGUAGUCAGGGGCAUUUCAUUUUUUCGAGAUAUAUUUCCAGUUCUUUGGCAUGCAUCACAAUUUUUAACAUAUUCCCUAGCAUCUCGGUACAUAGUUGGCCAAUAAAAUCCUGAUUGCCAUACCUUUGCCACAGUUUUUGAAGUACUGAAAUGACCACCUGUUUCAAGGUUAUGACAAUGAUAUAAAAUAUUAUGUACCUCAUCUUCAGGAAUACAUCUACGUAUCAUACCAUCGGCACAAUGUCUAUAUAGCAAUGGUUCCUCCCAAAAGUAACAUUUGAUAUCAUGUAAGAAUUUCUUCUUUUGAUGAUAAUUGAACCCCUUUUGAAUCUCUCCACUGACCAAGUAGUUAGCAAAAUCUGCAUACCAUGGAGAAUUUCUAAGUGCUAGGACAAACUCAUCCGGAAAAUUCUCUUGAAUUGGAACCUGAUCUUUGAUUGGGAUAUAUUCCAAACGUGAUAAAUGAUCUGCAACUAGAUUCUCCGAUCCCUUUUUGUCUUUUAUCUCCACAUCAAAUUCCUGCAAUAAAAGAAUCCACCGAAUUAGCCUAGGUUUUGCAUCCUUCUUAUGUAGCAAAUAUUUAAGACUUGAAUGGUCAGUAUAUAUAAUAACUUUAGAUCCUACUAAAUAGGAUCUAAAUUUAUCCAAAGCAAAUAUCACUGCCAAUAGCUCUUUUUCUGUCGUUGCAUAAUUGAGUUGUGCCUCAUUUAGCAACUUGCUAGCAUAGUAAAUGACGUGCAAUCGUCCUUCUUUCUUUUGUCCCAAAACUGCUCCAACCGCAUAAUCACUUGCAUCACACAUCAAUUCAAAUGGUAGUGACCAAUCGGGUGAAGUUAUAAUUGGGGCCGAAAUCAAUUCCUUCUUCAACCUUUCAAAUGCAACCAAACAGUUGUCAUUAAAUUGAAAAGGAGUAUCUUUACAUAAUAAAUCACAUAAUGGCUUUACUAUUUUAGAAAAAUCUUUAAUAAAACGUCUAUAAAAGCCAGCAUGUCCUAAAAAACUCCUUAUUCCCUUGACAUUGCUUGGAGGUGGCAAUUUUUUGAUAACUUCUAUUUUGGUUUUAUCCACCUCAAUUUCCUUGGAGGAAAUCUUGUGCCCUAAGACAAUUCCUUCUUUUACCAUAAAAUGGCAUUUCUCCCAAUUCAGUACAAGAUUUGUUUCUUCGCAUCUCUGCAAAAUCAAUUCCAAAUUAUGAAGACAAUGGUCAAAAGAUGAACCAUACACAGAAAAAUCAUCCAUAAAUAUCUCCAUAAUUUUCUCAAUAUAAUCUGAAAAUAUAGCCAUCAUGCAACGUUGAAAAGUUGCAGGUGCAUUACAUAAACCAAAUGGCAUUCUUCUAAAGGCAAAAGUGCCAUAAGGACAUGUAAAUGUGGUCUUCUCUUGAUCCUCUGGAGCUAUAGCUAUUUGAUUAUAUCCUGAAAAAUCAUCAAGAAAACAGUAAAAUUCAUAUCCGGCUAUUCGCUCCAAUAAUUGAUCAAGAAAUGGUAGGAAAAAAUGAUCUUUUCUUGUUACCGUAUUUAACUUACGAUAAUCAAUACACACUCUCCACCCUACCACAAGUCUAGAUGAAAUUAAUUCAUCAUUUUUACCCACGAUUGUAGUCAUUCUACCUUUCUUUGGUACCACAUGAAUUGGACUAAUCCAAACACUAUCGGAGAUAGGAAAGACUAUACCUGCAUCAAGCCACUUAAGAAUUUCAUUUCUUACCACCUCUUUCAUAUUUGGAUUGAGUCUUCUUUGUGUUUCCACCACUGGUUUGCAAUUGUCCUCCAAUAAAAUGCGAUGCAUGCAUAUAGAAGGACUUAUACCUUUAAUGUCAGCAAUUGUCCAUCCCAUUGCCUUCUUAUACUUCCUUAGAACUCUUAGCAACUUUGUACACUGCUCAUCAUCAAGGUCAGCACUAACAAUUACAGGUAAAGUACUAUUUUCUCCAAGAAAUUCAUACCUUAGAUGAGUUGGAAGUGGUUUGAGCUCUAGUUUUGGAGGUUCAAUUUCUGAAGGUGAUGAAAGCCCUUUUUCUUGGCCAAGACUUUCAUACAAAUUACCCCUUUUAUAAGGUGCUUGAAAAUCCAAAUAUUUGGCCAAUUCUUCAAUCUCCGCACAAUCCCCUUCUUGCACUCCUAAACUCAUUAAACAAUAUUCAAGAGGAUCAAAGUCAAAAUUGACUUGGCUCAUCUCUUGAGUUAGUUUAUCAAUUGUACCAAUAGAAUAUGCAUGAUCGGUAAAAGAAGGGUAUUUUCCCAUUUCAUGCAAAUUAAACUCUACCUCUUCCUCACCUACUUGAAACUUCAGCUUGCCAUUUUUAACAUCAAUAAUAGUACCUGCAGUAGCUAAAAAUGGUCUACCAAGAAUAAUUGGCAUAGAUACAUCUUCUUCCAUGUCUAACACCACAAAAUCCACUGGAAUGAUAAAUUUUUGAACUUUUAUCAAUACAUUUUCUAAAACUCCCAGUGGAUAUCUAAUAGACCUGUCCGCUAGUUGCAAAGUAAUAUUAGUGCUUUUAAGCUCCUUCAAACCCAAUUGUCUAGCCACCGUUAGAGGAAUCAAUGAUGCACUAGCACCAAGAUCACACAAUGCUUUAGAGAAAUCAAUGUUACUUAUGGUGCAAGGUAUAGAGAAACUUCCAGGAUCCUUCAAUUUCGGUGGUAGCUUAUUUUGUAUAAUUGCACUAUACUCCUCAGUUAAUGCUAUUGUUUCGCAGUCUUCCAACUUCCUUUUUCUAGUCAUGAUUUCCUUGAGAAACUUUGCAUAAGAUGGAAUCUGCAAAAUAGCAUCGGCAAAAGGAAUGUUAAUGUGCAAUUGUUUGAAAAGUUUAACAAAUUUUUCAAAAUCCCUAUCAAACUUAUUCUGCUUUAAUCUUUGUGGAAAUGGAACCGCAGGAGGCAUUGGAAUGGUAGCGGAAGAUGAUGAUUGAUUUUCUCUUGGUUUCUCCCGGCUAUUUUCUUCUACUAUCGCCUCUUGGUUCCUCUGCUUUUCUUCUUGUUUUUCAUUCUCAUCUUUCUCAACUUCCAUCACUGGUGGAUCUUCUAAUUGCUUACCACUACGAAGAGUAAUGGCUUUUACAUGCUCCUUAGGAUUGACCUCUGUUUUGCUAGGUAAUUCGCCUUGAUUUCGAUUAUUCAACGAACUAGCAAUUUGACCAAUUUGGACCUCUACAUUCCUGUACAUUGUAGUGAGUUGGUCCAAUCUUCCUUCUACUCGCUCAAAUCUGUCUGAAGUAACUUUUGCGAGUUUUUCCACUGCCAUUUUCCAACCAGGUUUAGUUUCAACUUGUUGUUGCCUUGAUUGAAAUCCCGGUGGAUUGGCUGGCCUUUGUUGAUUUCCUUGAUCCUUCCAUCCAAAGUUUGGAUGAUUUCUCCACCCCGGAUUGUAAGUAUUCGAGUAGGGGUUAUUUUGAGCAUUACGAUUGUAAUUAUUAACGAAUUGUACCUGCUCAGAAUCAACACACUCAUUAGUAUCAUGUUCACCUCCACAUAUAGAACAACAUGCUACAUGUGCAUUAGAUGAACUUGAACUAACUCCACUUUGUCUACUUAGCAACUUCAUCACAUUAUUCAUUUGAGCACUCAGCAUAUUGAGAGUGUCCAUUUCUAUCAUACCUGCGUGACGUCUUGUAUUACCUCUCUCAUUGGCCCAUUGGUAGUUGUUUGCGGCCAUUUCUUCUAUCAAAUUCUGAGCUUUUUGGGAUGAUUUACCCAUUAAAGCUCCACCUGCAGCUGCAUCAAUCAUAGUUUUAGUAGAAAAAACUAAACCAUUAUAGAAGAUUUGUAUGAUUAACCACUCCAGCAGUCCAUGAUGCGGACAUUUUCGAAGCAAAUCUCUAAACCUUUCCCAUGUCUCAUAUAAUGAUUCACUUUCUAAUUGGUUAAAACUAGUGAUAUCCAUCCUAAGCUUAGCAGUCUUACCUGGUGGAAAAUACUUAUUUAAGAAUGCUCUUGAUAACUCAUCCCAUCCAGUGAAAGUAUUAGGAGCAUGAGAGUGUAGCCAAAGUUUGGCCUUAUCUCUCAAUGAAAAUGGGAACAAUCUUAGCCUUAUAGCUUCAUCACUAACUCCAUUCAUUUUAAUUGUAUCACAAAUUUCCAAGAAGGUAGCUAAGUAUGUAUUAGGAUCUUCUACUGCAUUACCUCCAAAUUGAGAUUGUUGAACCAUUUGGAUAAGCGCUGGUUUAAUAUCAAAAUUGUUAGCAUUUACCGUAGGCCUUGCUAUGCUUGUUUGAGAUCCUUGUGUUCCCGGUAAAGCAAAAUCUCGUAGAACUCGCCUAUGUGAUUCGUUUUCUGCCAUGUCUUCUUCAAAUGGAAGCUCUAUUAAGAUAUCUUCUAUUGGCUGCCAAACCUCUUGUUCCUCUUGAUGUGAUGUACUUCUCCUUUGUCUGUGUAAUGUUCUUUCAAUUUCAGAAUCGAAAUGUGCAACUUCUCGAUUUGAUCGGUGCAUACACUACAAACAAAAACAAGAGAAAUUUUGCAGCUUAAAUUCAACAACUUGAAUAAAUAAAAAAAAUGAAAAUAUCUAAAUUAAUAGAGAUGAUUAGGCCCUAAUAUUGCCGCUCCCCGGCAGCGGCGCCAAAAACUUGACGGGACUUUUAUAUCAAUGCAAGCUCAAUUCCGAUUUUACACCCGUUGGACUGCAAGUAUACAGGUCGCAAUUGUAGUACAAGAUGUGUAUCGGGUCGAUCCCACGAGGAGCAAUUUAAACAAUUACUAAGCUCUUGUUUUCUCUAUUAUUUAGACUUACAAUUAAAUUGAGCAGAGAAAGUCUAAUGCUGUAAUCUACAAAUCUGAUAUACAAAUCUAGUUUAACAAAUGAUUAAUGCAAAUAGAGAAAUUUCACUUAAGGAAGAUUCUAGGGAUGUAGAUUCUACUUAUGGCAUAAACAAUACAAAUGAAUGGAUUUACUGCUUGCUAUUAUUCUUAUUUAACCAGAGAUUCAUUUCCAAAUUUACCAAAUCUCAUUUUCAUGAUGAAAUGGCCUAGAGCAAUAUAGAUUUCCCUAUUUUCAUGGUGAAAUAUUACUACUACUCCAUUUUACUUCAUGAAAUGCUAAAUAAUCCACCUAAGUGUAUUUCUAUUUUCAUGAACAUACAACUUAAGCUCUACUCAUGUGUUUCCAUUGUUAUUACCAAUUCUCAUUGAACAAUAACAACUAUAAACAAGCUAUUGGUGAUCAAUCAACAACACGUAAUCAUAGCUACACAAGUAGACAAGUUACUACAAGACAUAACAAGUGUAAAUCAUAUUCAAUUCAUAUUAUUUAGCCAUAAGUUUCAUCUACUCCCUAGAUUAAGGGGUUUAGCUACUCAUGAAUGAUUUAACAAUCAAACUCACAAGUUUAUUAAUGCCAAACAUCAUGAAGUACAAGUACAAGAAAGAUAAAAGAAAGCUUAGCCAAUUGAAGGUGAAGCUCUCCAACUCCUGCUAUGCUCUUGCACAAUAUGAUUACAAGUGAAAAACUCCAAGUACUUCUCCAAGAACUCCUAUCUAGAGAGAAACUAGAUACCAGAAAGAAAACUAGCUACGUAUGGUCUUCUUUUGCUUCUCCCCUGUGUUUCUGCAUAAAAGGUGGUAGAAAGUCUACCACCUCCCACUUCAUAAUUUCUUCCACUCAAAUUUUGUAAACAGAAGUCAAAGAUAUGAUAUUUCCUUUUGUCCAUACUCAUUUGGUCUUCUCUUUUGUUGCAGAAGCAUGUGCCACCGAUUUCUGUCCCUCAAAAUAGCUGGAAAGUUGUGAAAAAGGUAAAGAAAAACGGCUGUGGCACUUGCUGAGGAGAGAGACAGAUCCGAGUCUCGGAUCCGAGAGUUGAAAAAGGAUCCGAGCUCGGAUCUUCAGGAUCCGAGGGAUUUCAUAAUGGAUCCGGGGUCGGAUCGUCCUGACCUCGGAUGCUCUCCGCCAGAAGUACAGACGAGGGUUCGGAUCCAUCUUGUACACACGGAUCCGAGCUCGGAUCCGUGUUGACCAAUUUUUCAGUUUUUCACUUCUUCUCUUUUUCUACAUUUUUGCUCCCAAUUUCUUGUGUACUUUGUCCUCUGGAUGACCCUUACAUUUCUUUCAACUUGUGCAUGAAUUUCAUACAUCAAUUACCUUCACAAUUUCACAAAAUUAACGCAUUAAUCCACUCAUUUAUCAAUUUUUGAAACCUUAAUCAAUAUUUAAGCAAUUAUCACCAAAAGAGUUCAAAUAUGGCUUAAUCUUCUCAAAACAUACCAAAAAUUAAUGCCAAAUUCAUACAAAAUGUACGUUAAAUAUUCACUUAUCAGUAAACUACGAUGUGAAAAUGAAAUGGCAUAUGAACGACAAGUCGUCUCCAUCGGACCUUAUCACCGCGGUAAGCCUAAACUGAAAAAGAUGGAGGAGCAUAAGGUAAGGUACUUGAACAUGCUUCUUCUUAGAAGAAAAGAGUCAAAUGCUAAGAAAUACGUCGAAGCUAUGGCUGAACUUCAAGAAGAAGCUAAAACUGUGAGAACCCUGAAAAUAUAUAUACAAAUAACAUUGCAUAUUUUAUUUGCGUUUCUAAUUCUCUAAUAAAUUUUAGCAUUACUUUCACUUGUUUGUAAAUAAGUGCGUAAAAAACAAUUUUCAUGUGAAAAAUAAUAUAAUUUCUCUAAGUUACGAAAUUCCUUUUGUUUUGCUAAACUAAAUUAAUACCUUUAGAGUUAGAAUAAUUUUAGCACCCCAACAUAAAAUAUUAAAGUACUUAGUUUCCAUUAUGUUAAAUUAAUACUACCUGAGUAGAUUAAUUAUAUAAAAUUUCUUGAAUUCCAAUAAUUAAUCCUGAUUAGUGAAUAACGUUAAAUACUAAUAAGAAUUUUCACGUUAAGACCAAAACCAAUAAAUUUUAUAUGCAAAAUAAAAGAAUUGUGCUAAACUAUUAAAUUUCUAGUUUUGUUUCAUUAAAUUCAUAUUUCGAAGGUAAAUUAUUUCAUUGAUUUAACAAAUAAUUUCUUCGAAUUCCGAUAGCUAAUCUUAAGCGUUAAUAAUGAUUAAGUUAAUAAGUUUUGAUAUAAAUGGAUAAACGAAUAUUAAGAACGUUAAAUUUAUAUAUUAAGGUCAAACUUGAUUUUAAUAGUUUAAAUAAUUAGGUAAUAAUGUUAGGAAUUACUAGGAACCUUAAUAUUCAAGUUUAAUCGAUAAUUAUUCGAUAAAAAUGGUUUAGGUAUAUUAGGGUAUAAUUAGGCGUUUAAAUCACACUUGGGGAUAAUUUUUAGAAUUAAGUUGAGGUUAGGGAGUAAAGUGAAAAGACUAAAAUGCCCUUACAAUUCCAUGCAAACCAAACCAAUCCUCUGACCGCAAAUUCAAUUACCGCAACUAUCACCAAUUCUAUACGCAAUCGAUUCUAAUACACGAAACCUCUGCUCCUAAAACCGCGGCACCUUAUACCAUUACCUCCAUUUCACAUCUUAAACCACGGCACCACAAUACUUCUUAAUAUCACUCAAUCCUUUCUCAUAUCACUUACCGCAAACCAUAUACCUCUCUUUCCAUUUCAUAUCUCAAACCGCCAUUCCAUUUCUCUGAACCAAUUCACCUCAGACCGCAACACCAUUUCAUUUCCUCUCAACCUCGUAACCAUCGACGAAGAGUGAGAGAGGAACCGAGAAACUACAACAUUCUGCUCCUGUCCGUAAGCUUGAGGGAAGAAAAGGAGAAGUCAUGCGUGAGUUCAUUCUUCAACCUCCAUUCCAAUCAGCUGCAAUCCACCUCCAACAGCAACCUUUCAGCUAUCACCGUCACGAGUAAAAACCAGAACCAAUUUCCAGGCCGCGAGCUAGUCGAAAAAAAAAAAUUUUGACAGAUCGUUUGUCGCGUGCGCUGAGUGUUUCACCGAGGUAAUUCCUGAACUGGAAUGAGUUGUUAAAGGGUAGAUUAAGUCAGUAAUUGCCAUGCAUGUGAAGCUUAGGCGACAGGAUGAUGAUUUUGGAAAAGAAAAUCUGUUAUGCGAAAGAAUAAUUUCUGCCGAGAACUUGUCUUGAAAAUUGCAGUUUUAUUUGGUUUAAUUUUGUUGCUCUAAACUUAUAGCUAUGUUUAACUAAGUGGAAAUGAGAUGAUUAAGUCAUGCAUGUCUCGGUUGUGUGUUCGGAUGAUGAACUUAGAAGCUUGAGAAAAUCUGUUUUGGGGAAAUUGGAAUUGCCGAGAGCUGGAGAGUGGAAAUGCAGUUCAAUCUAAUUAAAUGUGAUAAUCUGAGUUGAUAGUUACGAUUAACUAGCUAAUAACAGGAUAAUUAGGUUUUGCAAGAGGUUAACUAGCUCGGCUAACCAAGAAAAUGAAAUGAAAACAGAAAUUUGCUUCAUGCAUGUUCGUCCAAGCCAAGCAGGAAUAAUUUCUGGGAAAUUUUGAUAUCAAUGGUUGCUAUUCGAACCUUAUUUGGUACUAGAAACAUUGAUUGGCUAGCUAAGUGUCUGCAUAAUGCAUUUGAGUACUUAAAUCAAUAUUUUAGCCGAGGAAAUAUUGGUUUUAUGAACACUGAAGUGCUGGAAAAAUUUUGACGUCCAAGAAGGUUGAGCUGGAAUUUUCAAUUGGUUUCUGGAAUUUUUUUCUUGGAAUAUAAUGGUCUAGAAAUGCAUGGAAAAUAUGUGUUUUAUGCGCUGUAAGUUGUUCAGCUACGAAGCAUUUAAUUUAUUGGCAAAGAUUGGCCAAAAAUGUUGACCUAUAGCUGCUGGAAACUCUAUUUAGUCAAUGACAGAUUUAUUGUGGUGGAAUUAUUCGCCAAAAUUACAGGUUAUUUGUUUUAUUUCAUGUUGGAAAAUUUUAAUGGUGGGCUCUAUGAACUCCCACCCUUGGAUUGAUGGCUGAUAAAAUGAUUGAUGAUGGAUAUAAUGCUAGUUUAGUGUCUAAAUAAAUAGAUUAAUGAUACCUAGCUACUCUAGACUUCAAGGGAUGCAUAGUUCAAAAAUGUUCAGUUUUGCCCUGUUUUAAUCACACCCAUUUUUGUAGAAUUUUGAGGGUUUCAUGACUCGUAUAUUAUGUUUAUAUGUUGAAUAUGUGGUGUACAAAGUUUCAUUGAAAAAUAUUGAGAUUUGGUUGGUCAAAUAAAAUGAUUUCACAAAGCUAGUAAAUCUGGAACUGUUUCCGUAAUACUCUGACCCGCUUUCGUAUUUCGGCUAUAAUUCUGUGCUCCGAUGUCGAAAUUAAGUGCCGUCAGCGGCAUUUGAAACUAGACAUUCCAACCUUUCCGACGGUAUAAAAUGUACAUUCUGGUUCCAUGUGUGUGAGCCGAACCAACCAUUUUAAAUCGGCUGUCCUGUUUCUCUGUUUUACAAGAACAAAAUGAUGAGGCUGCAACUUGUGGCUCGAAUUCGAGCUAGUUGUGUGCCGAAUUUCAAAGUGAUUUCUUCUGUGAAAUUAUAGCUCUAUGAAUUUUUUUUCCAACGCCAUAAACCAUGCCAAAUUCCUAGUUAAUUUGAGUGAUCUAUGAUCAAAAUAGGAAACCUGCUCUGUCCUUGAAAACCCUGAUUUUUAGACAGAUUUGAUGCAAGGCUCGGUAUAGACUUGCAAAUUAAAACUCUUGGUGUUAAUCACCACAAAUGUUGUUCUGGGAUGACCCUUAAAUCUUUUCUAUGCAAAUGAAUCAUGUUUAGAGGAUUUUCCUUGGUCAAAAGUUUAGAAAAGGAAAUUUUCACAUACAAGGCAGCUUUGCCUUAAAAUUUUGGAAACUUGGGUGAUUUUGUUAAGUGACUUCCCUUGCAUAUUUUCCUAUGAAAUUUGGUAGAGGGACAACCCUUAUAUAGUAGUAUUAUACUGCUAAUUUUGGUGUUAUUCCGAGACCGUUUCAUGGGUCAAAUAAAUUACCAAAGUUCAUGACUCGAGCUUGAAAAACCCAUGUUUCACAAGGGAAUCUUGGUAACCUUGAGUUGCCAUAUCUUAAUAUUCAAAACUCCGCUUCUCGUUCCGUUUGUUCUGUUAUACUCUUGGAUUGCGACUCUAAAAGAGUACCAAAUUUCAAAAGCUAGUUCCAAACAAGUGAAUUUUGCCGAACUUCCAAAGUUGGCCAAAAACCAACUUAAAUCUGUUUUGGUAAUUCAAGUUACCAACUUUGAGUCGAAAAUUUGAGUGCCUUUCACUUACACUCGUGGAAAAGUGUCUUCUAGGAACUUUUAGUACUCUGAAGUAGUUUCUAAUGGUACCAAGUUUUUCAAUUUUGGACCUACUGAAUGCAAGACCUAAUUUUUCUAAGUUUGACGUGCAAAGCUGAAAUUUGCCGAUUUCUUAGAAAAUGAAAUUUUGAAAACCCGUUAUUCCUUCUUGAUGAUAAUUGGUCAUUUUAAACUUGAUUCCAUGAAGGAAAUUAUUUUUUUCCUUGUGUUAAUAAAACCUCACUUUUGAACCUUUAUUUUUAGUGGCUAAGGUUCUUGAUUUGAGGUAGUGACAAGUCUAGAUGAGUGUAACUUCUUCCUUGAUUAAUGCGUGAUUAUGAGUGAAAAAUACUUGUCAAUUGCUUCAGGUGCUCAAGCUAGUCUUGAAGAGAAUCCCGGAGAGGACAACUAACGAUUCUCUCGCUCAAUUACUCUUGAAUUGUGAGUGUCAAGUGCAUGACUUGUCGUGUUUACUUGAUUUACCUGCUUAUAUACGUGAAUAUCACUUGAUGGGACGAGUGUGUACUUUAUCGCACUCGCUCUCCUUUACUUGAACUUUACUUGUAUUAACUUGGUUUUCGAAGUCGAUUUGAGUGAACCUCGUCGGCUAAAAUAUACCCGUUUUCGUGUAUAUGUCGUGUUGUCGUGCGUGUUGUGUUUGCCGUGCGUGACGUGUUGUCGGGUGGAGUGAAACUCCUCGACUUAUGGGGACGCCCAAAUUCUCUUAGCCAAUCUUGCAACUCGAGCCGGCAUGGGUUUGGUCGAGAAGCUUGAUAAGCCAAGGGAACAACAAAACAUAACUUGAUCUUUUGAGAUCUUGUUCGGCAUACUCGUGGAGUAUCGCCCUUUUCGUGCGUGUUCAAAAAUCAAAACUUGAUCUCUUGAGGUCUCGUUCGGCAUACUCAACGAGUAUCGCCCUUUUCGUGCGUGUUUGGUUACGGAUCCGAGAGGGUGGAACGUUGGCCGGAGGAAGUAAUAAGUGAAGUUUCUACGGAUAUAAUACCCACCCGGAUGACGGAGGGUCAUUGUGAGGGGGUAUCGGAUCGAGCCGUGGCGAAGCAAGUGGAAAAUAGCUCCUGAGAGCUCCUAUAUCCUUGAAUUGUUUCUGUUUACUUGCCUCGCUUGAAUUGUAAAUUACUUGAACCUUAUUGUUCUACUUGAACAACGUUCGUGCAUGUGUGUUUUCUUGGCCUCACGAGCGAUUGGCUCACCGUGUAUAUUUGUUUUCCUUGACAGGUUCUGGAAAUUGAGAGCUUUACAAUUUACUUAGAUUUUCUUAUGGAUGUAAAUGAAAUCUAUGACUUCGCUUUGUGGUUUGUAAUGUCUAAUGUUACUUAUGCCAUGUAUCGGAUUGGAGAUAUGUUAAGCUAGGUGUACUUAAGACUUUGGAUUGCCACUUGAAGCUGGAAAGGUGCAAUCCCUGAUUCAUACAUUCGGUUUGUAUGUACGUAUUGGUGUUGUAUGAACUUGUAUGUUUGGGAUGGUGUGACUUUAGACUUGGUUUGUAAUCGAGAAGGUAUUUUGAGAAUCGACGAUUGGUUAUCUUUUAGUACUGCUAUCUCCGAAGUUAAUGUGGUUUAGUAAUCGAUCUAUUUAGGAAGAAAUGAGGGUGUAAUAGUCUAGAUUAUACUUCGGAGGGUUGUGGCUAGAUUUCUUGCGUGAGUCCUGGCGAGAGCUGGGCAGGCGUUCCGCGGAUACCCCUUGGUUCGCCUUGGGGAGAAGUGGGGCCGUCACAAAAACUUCUUACGCAGACGAAAUCAAUCUUUCAGAUGGUGAUUUUGUUGAAAUGCUAUGCCUUGAUGGCUGCUUUGUCAUUGAGUUCUUGAGGAAACUUUGUCAGCCUAAAUUAUACAGCGAGAAUGAUCCCAUUUUUCAGAUGUCUUGGCUAAUAUCAGCCACUAAGAGAGACCUAAUAUUAUUUGAGAAUCAGUUGCCCUUUGUUGUCCUGCAAAAACUGUUUGAUAUGACCAAGUUGCGGGGCGAAGAAGAGAACCUUAAUGACCUAGCUAUUCGCCAUCUGUCUUCGCUCGUGCCUGGUUCUUAUCCAGGUCAAAGUUCUCAUUCUACAAUCCCUGCAGGUUAUAAGGCUGUUCAUCUUCUUGACCUCAUGCACAAAAAUUUCACUGCCUCAUUUUCCAACACAUUUAGGGAUCUCAAACAUGAACCGACUAAAACCUUAUUGCAGAAACCAGUUAUUGAGCUAGUACAUAUUGGAACCAAGUUCAAGAGGGCAAUAAACAGUGAAUCCUUGCUCCAUAUCACUUUCAAAAAUGGUGUAGUUAAAAUCCCUCCUUUGUUUGUGGAUGAUCAUACAGAAUCCAUCUUCAGAAACUUGAUUGCAUACGAACAGUAUAUGUCUAAGCCAUUUGAGACACGGAGGUAUGUAACUGAUUACAUAAGCUUCAUGGAUCUUCUCAUAGAUUCCCCGUCCGACGUUGAAAAGCUUCGCAACAGUGACAUCAUCAGGCAUGGGUUAGGCAAUGAUAAAGCAGUCUCUGUAGUGUUCAACAAGUUAAGCAGUGGUGUUUCUAAUGAAGUUCCUUUCUGUUACGACGAAAUUUUUGUGGAAAUGGAGAAGUACUACCGCUACCGCAUCCUUAGGGCAUACCUCAUGCAGAAAUAUUUUCAUACCCCGUGGUCAAUCAUUUCACGUCUGGCUGCAAUCGUUAUGAAAAUUAAAGUGAGCUAGUUGUGCUUGUUUGUAAUUUGUUAGUCAUUGUACUUAAAUACCAACAACGUCAUUUUAUUUGUGUUCCGAUUGAUAAAAAAUUCUUGAUGUAAAAGAACUUUCCUGUCUUGGAUAUUACAUGAACUCCUAAAUGCAUGUUCUGCUAAUAAUGAACAUGAUCUCUUCUGUAUUAUGAUCUACUACUGAACAUUAAAAUAGCAAUGCCCCGUCAACCUGACAAUUUUUAUGAACAUGGAUAUCUGUCUACACAUGUAUCUAUAUGUCUGUGUCAAGUAUAACCACAGUACGAGGCUAACUUUGAGUGUUACAUGGCACCGGUCCGAUCUUAGUGAGAGUACUACUAAAUGCAUGCAAAGGCUGACGAUGAGAACUCAAUGAAGCACGAAAAUUAAGUACACAAGAUUUUAAGCAAACUGCAAAGAAAGAAUUAAAAAAAUGAAGCUUUAGCAUUCAUCUGUCAAAAAAUCCUUGGCAUACUAUCAUAUAUAAUAGCAGUUAGAUACCAGUUGAUUGAAAUGCUAACAAAAUAAGUGUACUGAAAACAUAUAGUUCUACAGGAUCUAAUUGUUAUUCCUGUGAUUUAAAGAAGAGAACAGAGAAAAGGCCCGGUUGAUUUUCAAACAAAGAAAACUCGGAAGAACACUUUAUUGGGAAAAUAGUUAUAAACAUGAAUUGCUUGUUACUUAUGGUUCCCGAAAUCUUAUCUAAUUAGCCACUGCAUCCACAUUGGCUAGAAUGCUAAGUAAGGCAUAAAGACUGAAAGAAAAAAGGAAAAAAAAAAAAAGAAGCAGUACAAUAAGCAAAUCUGUCAUGCUUGCUGGUACCAAAAUUAAGUACAUAUGUAAAUUUUAAGUAGUUCUUGGUUGUAAAUGUGAAGGCUUUAUCUAAGAAAUGUUGUCUCCAACGUUCCGACCUUUUUCUCAUGUUUGUCACUUCGCGAAGCACAGCAUUUGCUAAGGAAUGAAGGGCUGAGACAUGUCUACUUUUUUAAAGCAAUAGAGGGCUUAAACAUUGGUUGUUCUCUUCUCUUCUCUUCUUCUCUUUAUUACGCUCAGUCGCUCACUAUUUUCCCUCCACAAAGGAAAAAUUGCUAGCCAUCUAAAGUUUAGUGGAAAAGAACAGCUAUGAACUCAUAUCUCAAAAUUCUAGAAAAUUAAAAUGUUUAAGAAUUUGUAGAUCCUAUCUAAAUGAACAUCUUGAAGUACAGAUUAUCUUCUGCUGAGUACAUUAAAAAGUUCAAAGUAACUUUCUAUAGGUUUUUAUACAUUGGACUAUUGGAGAAAAGAACAAAGGGGCUAAAUUAUUAAUUAAGUUAUUUUUCAACUAUUUAAAUUGGUAUACCAAAAAAAAAAAAAGAAAUUAUUCUUCAUCGACUAUAAGACAAAAGCAAAGGUGUCAAUAAACCACUCUUUAAUUUUCUUUUUGUAAUUUUUGCUAUCUUUUCCUAUAUAAAGUUAGACGUAUGCCACUAGACUAAUAUAUCCAAAAGGUGACAACAUGGCUGGUAUAAUGUGGUCUUACAAAAAUAAAAAUAAUAAUAAUAAUAGUAUAAAUUGGACUACCUACGAGCUUCCCAUCCCAAAGGACUAAUAGCUUGAUACAACUUCCACGUGCUUUCUCCAGCUUUUUGUCUCUAUUUCUGAUCAAGAUUGCUACACGUUAGACUCUCCUCUUGCCCAGGUAAAUUUUUCAAGUAUUUCCCUGUUGUGAAAUAUAUUGGAAAUCUUAGUAGCGAGCUAGUUGAAAAAAAUUUCUUCUUUGAAUUGAGUCAUAUUAGUUCAUAUUGUCCUAUAACUGAAUUUUAUAUCUAACUUGGUAUAUAACCAUUCCACCAUUCCAUACUACUAAAAGUUGUACUGAGUGAGAGUGUUGUUGAUAUAUUCUUUCUUCUGUAUGCAUCCAAGAUUCCUACUGCCAAUAAACCCCUUAGGUCUUUUUGAAGCAUUUCAUCUAUUUCUCAGAAAAUAUGUCUGAUACUUUUUGUUUAGUAGCCUUUGCUUGUCUUUGAUUCCGUUUACUUUUCCUCUUUUAUCUUCUAGGAUAAUUGCAUAUAUGUGGCUAAACUUGUACAAUUUCUAACUAGAUCAAUUGAAUGAGAUUGGAAGACAAAUGCCUGAACAAGACAAUAGAAUAGCCAAGAUUAUGUAUCCCUCCCAGCAAUACGGGCUGGUGACAUUGAUUUGUUUUCAGCCCUUACCUAACUUUCCAUGAUGACUAGCUUCAAACGACAAAAACUUUUAAAAGUCAGAAUCAGCACUCGGAAAUCAGUAUAAACCUGGUUCAAGCAGUUGCUAAUCAACUUAAUUAGACUGAUUUUGUUAAUCUUUCCGUGCAGCAUUUUAUUCUCCAAAGAGGGUGCCCGGAGAAAUGCUAAAAUUUAUUUCUACUGGUCUCGAUCGAAAGCUUUCUCAGAUAUCAGAAACAUCAAAUGAGCAAUGUAUAUUCAGAGUCCAUGACGGGCUACGGAGGCACAACCCUCAGGCAUACGAACCAGAAAUUGUUGCUAUUGGACCUUAUCAUCAUGCUAAAAGUAAAUUACCAAAAAUGGAAAAGCAUAAGCUGAGGUAUUUGCAAGGGCUUCUUCUUCAAAGAGGCGAGUCAAGUGUGGAAUGAUACAUUGUAGCCUCGUCACAGCUUGAAGAGCGCACUCGAAGGUGUUAUGCAGAAAAAAUCAGUCCAAGUAAUGACGAAUUUGUGGAAAUGAUGUGCCUAGAUGGCUGCUUCCUCAUCGAUACUUUUAAGGAAAUCCUACCAGUGUGAAUUGCGGAAUGAUGAGGAUUCCAUCUUCCAGUUGGAAUGGCUUAAACUAUGCACAGAGAACUAUUAUCGUUUGAAAAUCAGUACGCAGAGAACUUUUAUUAUUAAUGAAUGGAUAAUAAAUCCUUGUAGAGGGUUUAUUUACUGGCUAUUCACAAUGUCCAUUGUGUCAUUGCUGAGUUAUCAACGCAUGUUGCAGGUUAAAAUAAAAACAAAGCAUCGGUUAGUUAAGAAAGAACUAGAUCCUAUCACGUAUUAAGAUGUUUAUUUUUCCUGUUGUGUUUCAGCACCAUUGAAUCUUGGAAGUGAUCUAGAAGUGGAAAAAAGGAGGGCUGACUGAGUACCUUGCCACCUACUGUGGCCUGGGGAAUUUGUAGCUGCAGGUCAACUGGAUUUGUUCAAAGCUCGGGUCACUAAGUUUUUUCUUGUAAAACGUUCACAUGAACAUUGGUGACGUGUUGUACAGAUGUUUCCUUUUGUAUCCAUGAUUUACUACCUGGGCAACUGAUAUUUUUGGGACCAUUUUCCAUUUGAGAUAUGAUUUUCGUUUUUGUUGAGCAAUAUUUUAUAUUUUGGCUUAUAUUUGCUUCUGUAUGUAUUAAAUUGUUCCAGAUUUUUUAUCCAACUGAGGCCGAUAACAUUUAAAGCAGGGAUUUGAGUCACUCUAGAGUCUAGGCUUGAUUAGGGUGGUUGUAUGUACCAAUGGUUCUAAUUCUGUACCAUGAGUAAGGUUUUUUAUUCUGGAGCUAAAAUCUUGGUUUAUAUUCCAAUAUAGGAUUCUCUGCAUUUAGGUUCUUCUCCCUUUUCAAAGGAACAACAUAAUGACAUGAUACCAUACCAAUAAAGAAUAGUGUUCAGCUAGGUUUUCGUUUGAUUUUUAACUCUUCUUUCCCAGCCAAUUCAUUAGUAUCAUUAAUAAUUCCAUUUAAGAAUUCAUGGUGUAAUAUGAAUAAAUAUUUUAUAGAAAUGAUAAUAUGAUUAUAAUGGAUAGAAACUAAAAUUAACUUGUAAUGAAAUGAAUGUUUUGAGAGUAGAAAAAUAUUUGCAACAUAUCAACAAACAUAUCAGAAAAUAUUUUUAUUGACAAACUAAACACUGGAAAAUUAUGAAAAAGGGAAUUUGGAAAAUAUUUUCACUUAAUAACCAAACACUGGAAAAUUGUGGGGAAGGAAGUGAUUUUUCAGGAAAAUAACUUCGAUGAAAAAUAUUUUCCCUUCAGUCCAACCAAACAGACCCUAAAAAUGACUUGAAAGAAUACACAACGAUAUGUAACAGAAAAUUUUUCUACCUUUAUUAAGAUUGGAUAAUAUGAUGUCUAAAUUUAUAUAUUUAUACUUUCCGAUUUCUUAAUAUUUUAUAAUUAGAAAAUCCAAUUCAAAUCAACUUUGACUCCUACGAAGUCAUUAGUAUAAUUUUUACAUUCCAAAUUACACCCCACAACCGUUAAAGACAAAAUGGAGAUUUGAAGGAUGCUUCCAUCCAAUAAUUAUAUAAAAGUCGGGUUCGAGAUUUCCCAUUUACAAUAUAUAUAUAAAAUUCUGAUUAGACUAACAGAUUAACCACAGCCUUCUCCUCUCAAUGAAGGUUCAUAAACUAUAUUUGUAGUGUGUUUUAUGCGAAAUAUUCAUCUUUACGGACCUAUGCCCCAAAAUUUGUUUCAAUCCAAACUGACACCAUAAUAACUAUAAUUUAAAUAGGAGUCAAAAAGCCAUUAAGCCAAGAAUAAUGUUCUCUAUUGUGUAGAAAAGAUUUUAUAAACCACCAUUAAUUUGUAAAUGAGUGGUUUUAGACAUUAAACUCAAACAGAAUAUAUUGAUCAUUUUUUAAUGAUCUUAUUGCUAUAAAUGGAUCAAUUCUGCUUGCUUGCGAUGACCAAAAUCGAUUUGAAUUCAAAUAGCUCGAUUCGAUUAUCAAGCCGAGCUCAAAAGUGAAAAUACAAGACUCGGAGUCUCCUCAACCUAAUUGAACCUCAUAUGCAAAUGCAAAGAAUUUUGAGUGUAGAAUGUCCACUUUUUUCUUAGACUAGUAUAAAUUAAAGCCAUUAUUUGAUGUUUCGAAUUCGAAUUUUAUGAUAGUAAUGUCAAUAUGAGUUAGGUACUCUAUAGAUUUUGGUUAUGUUAUGUGCUCUAUGGAGUUUGAUGUCAAAUUCUACUUAUCUUAAUCAUUACUACAAAGUAUUUAUGUCAUUAUUAGAAACUGUUUGAAUCUCCAAUGCAGCCUCCAAAAUUGAUUGUUUUAAAAACACUCUACCUCUGUGCAACUAAUAAAGAAUACGUUUUGCAAAAAUUAUUUUGAUGACACAAAAUGCAAGAAAAUUUUGGAUAGAAAAAAGAAAUAAUAUAUCAUUAAAAAAAUUAGGAUAAUAUAAAAAAAAUUAGCUAACCGGUGAAGUUAAGCGGUUUGUAAUUGUGAAAUGUUUGGAUAAUAAGAUAACCAUUUGUGAUAACUUGAGAUGCACAAAGUUGUCAAGCAAGCAUCGCAUAAUAAGGUGGCGUUUGGUUCAUACUUUGGAAUCAGAUUCGAAUUUAGGAUUAUUUAUCCAGGGUUUGGAAUGGAGUCACUCAUUCCAAUACAUCUGUUUGGUUCAGUACCAGGAAUAUAUAUUAUUACUAUAGUUGAUGUUUGGUUCAUUGGCUCAUUCAAAAUGGGAUAUAAGAAAUUUUCACUAAUUAAAUGUAUUAGUAUAAAUGUGUUAGUAAAUUUAGUAUAACUAAUUAAUAAUUUCUAUUAGUAAACAUGUAUAAUUAUUAGUAUAAUUGAUAAUAUCAAUUAUAUCACAUAUACUAAUAUACAUUAUACAAUACAUAUAACUAAUAAUAUCAUUAUUAUAAGUUUCUAACUAAUUAGAUUAAAUAUUAUAUAUAAUUAAAUAUAAUUAUAUAAAUAUUAUAAUAUAAAUAUAAAUAUAAAUAUAUUAAUUAUACUAAUAUAUUAUAUAUUAGAUAUAAUAAUUAUUAUAUAUUAUUAUAAAAAUAAAAAUAAAAAUAUAAUAAAUUAUUAUUAUAUAGACAUAUACUAUAAUUAUAUGCAUAUAUAAUAUACAUUUAUAAAUAUAUAUUUAUAAAUAAUAUUAAUAUAUUAUUAUAUAAUAUUAAUAAAUGUAUAUUAUAUAUUAUAUAAUUAUAAUUAUAUUUAGUUAAAUAUUUAUAAUAUAUAUUUAUAAUAUAUAUUAUAUAUGUGUAUAUAAUAAAUAUAAAUAUAAAUAUAAAUACAUUUAUUAUUAUUAUUAUAUUAUAAUAAUUAUUAUAUAUAUUAUAUAGUUAUACUUAUAUUAUAAUAAAAUAUAUAAUUAUAAUGAAAUAUUAUAAUUAAAAUAUAUUAUAUAUAAUUAUGUAUAUAUGUAUAUAAUUAUAUAUUAAUUUUUUUUAAUGGGUGGCGGGAUAGGCCCCAUUUCUAAACGGAAAUCUGACUUGGGUUUUGUCCAAAACCCUCCAGGUUACCAAGGAAUUGGGGAACUCCAAAUUUUUGGAUAUGAUUUCAAAUUUCAAUUCCAAUAAUAGUAAUCCAAACAACAAUUAUGAGAUUUAUUCUAAUUCUCCGUUCUGAAACCCUCUUACCACAUACCACCUAAGUCUUUCGGUUUAUAUGAUACGGAUGGAUUGUAAUUGCAAGAAUAAAAUGGAUAGUGGAACUACAUCAAGUCUAAAAUUUUGGAACAAACUAAAAUGGAUUAUUUCUUCAAUUUGAUCAGCAAGUGUGAUCAAGUUUUUAGCCCAUCUUCUUAGAUUAUUUAUGCUCAAAAUUACGUCAUAUUCUAAACUGGAUUGUUUUUACUUCUAGAGACUAAAACAUCGAAAUUUUUAGAUUUGUUAGAUAUUAAACAAUAAUGAUUUUUUUCUUCAUAAAAUAUAUAAAUCAUGAGUAGUUAUAUAAUCGAGCUUGCAUAGGGAUUAGAGAAACCAUGGUUCCAAAAUUUAGAAAUGGAAAUUGAAAAGUUGUUUUAGUGCAAGAAGUUAACAGUAUCUUGACUUUUAGUUAAUAUUAUGUUUUACCUCCAUAAAUUCAAAAUUUAAAUUUGAAUGUAACAUAUAUAUGAUUAGAAAGAAGAAUUAUAUUGGAAAAAGAUACUAAAAGAUGUUUUAACUUUUCCAACAAGACAAACAAAUAUUUUGGAACAUUCUAAAAUAAAAAAAUGAUACUUUUAAUGGGACGGAGGAAGUAUUAUUCACUAACUAUUCCAGCGGAUACCAAAUUUCCAUUCUAAGGCAUAUUACAAAGAUUUCAACUUAUGUUUGUUGCAUCAAGCAUGUGACAUAAAACAUAAAAGGCCAAAAAAAAAAAGACUGACAUAAAACCCGCACCAGAAAAUCAAAAGGAAGUUCAAUUUUUAAAAAAUAAAAAAAUAGAACUAAAUAGUAAAUAUGAAAGAAACAACAAUUGGUCAAACAGUAGAUCAGCUUUUCUUUUUAAACUUUGGAGGUAAAAAACAAAAACACUUUUAUUUGUGUUAGCUAUUUAACCCUUAUUAACUAGCAAUGGAAGUGGUAAAUAUAUUAUCACCUUUCUUGAAACAACGAUGCAGUCCUCCACCACCAAUGACAGACUCCUCAUUUCUUUCUUGGUCACCACUCCGUCCUUCCUCUCCCACUCCCACACAUACACACACACACUCUCACACACUCACUCGCUAGCCAGCUAAAGCUCAAAAUCCCUCACUUAAACCCCAAAAUCACUCAAAAUCUUCUGGUUCUACAGAAUACUUGCUCAAAGGGAGUUGAUCUUGCUAUCUUCCUUCACUACUUCACAAAGCCAACCUUUUCGUUUAGCUGCCGCCUGCUAGUGGUAGUGGGUGGUAUGUACAAAUACUCUUCAUUUUCUUUGAGUUUAAAGAUCUGGUUUUUUUAUUCUAAGAACAUUUUGAUGGGCUUUUUUAUCUUUAUCAUCUUUUUUUUCUUUUUUCAAGUAAAUGAGUACGGCUGUUACCAGGCAACCUGCGUAAUUUUAUUUGAGCAUGUUAGAAGGGUUUUUCAAUUUUUGUGUUCCACAAAAAAAAAAAAUCACACUUUAGAGGUUGUUAUUUUAUAUGCGUUUUCUGAUUUUUAUCUACAUUUGUGUGUUUCACAAGUAAAAUUGUUUCAGGUAAAUUAGUGGGUGUGUUGUUAUGCAAACCCUUUGUAAAAGAUUUGAUUUUUUCUGUUGGUAUUUUAACUAGAGUAUGUUCUUUGGUUGUAACAUGAAUGGAAUUUGCAUGAAUCAAUCUUUCUUCCUCAGCUUAUGAUGUCAAUUAUACUAUACAUGAGAUUAUACUGGUUAGUAUUUAGCACUGAGAUGGCCUAGUCCUGCAAAGUUCUUCUAUGCUACUUCUCUGUUUGGCUAACAAACUCUUGAAGUUAUCGUUUAGCUCUUUGCUACUUUUUUCUUUGGCUUAUCGUGAAUCUUUGGCAAUGCUUUUAUGAAUCUCUGUGGGGCAUUAUUGCUUAUAGGAAGAUGCAUUACAGUCAUGGCAUCAUGGGUGUUGGAGUUUUUCAACUAGUUUUAGUCAAAAUUUUAGCAUAAUUCCGGAAAGAGUUUGUUGUAUGUCUUUCAUUUUUAAUGUUCAUAAUUCUGCCUAAUAUGCUGUAUAUAUAAGUAAUAAAUUUUGAUAAAUGCUGUUUAAGUUUUUCAAUGUUUUGUGCAAUAAGAAUUAUGGAUGAAGUUAUUCAUAUCUACAAACCUGAAAAUGGUCCUUAUCCUAAAAAUGUUGUGGCUUUGGGUCCAUUGUACAUUGAUACAUUUCCUGGACAAGAUGAGCUGGUUAAAAGUGUAAAAGUGACGGCUUAUUGUCAUUCUAUAGCUGCGAGUGGAGACAUGGCCUCAAGCAUUCCUCUUCGCGAGGGGAUUCAAACUAUUCGAAGAGAAGCUUUUAAAGCGUAUGGGUGGCCAUUCUGGCCACCCAAUGGAUUUGUUGAGAUGAUGGUAUUGGAUGGCUGUUUUUUUAUGCUGCUGGUGUUGUUCAUUCUUGACCACGAAGAAGUGAAAUAUUCCUUAGAUAGUGAGGCCUAUCUUUUGGAUUUUCAUCAUUUAGUGCAAAACAAAGGAAGAAUAAUCUCGUCCAUUCUGUUGGUAGGAAACCAAAUUCCCUACAAUAUACUAAGAGUGGUUAUGGCUCACAUUUACUUUAGACAUAGGAUACAAGAAGUGAAGGUCAAGAAAUCCUGUGAUUUAUUGGAGAGGACAUUCUAUGCACUAUUAAAGAUAGGAGGUCUCACAAUUGAUCAAACUCCGGAUCUUGGCAUUUCUUCAACAUCAGAUGAAUCUUCAAAUCUUUUGGAGAGUCUACAUAGUUUAAUCCUAGGCUUAGGGCCAAGUAGAGAAAUUGGUCAAGUGUACAAGCCCCUUGAACCUGAUGAUGUUCCUAGUGUCACGGGCUGCCUGUUUUUCCACAAGCCAACACCCCGUGCAGUACUAACGUACGUUCAAGUCUCAAGCUAUGAACGCCUAGUUAGUUCAGCCUUAACACUCGAUGCGCGGUUGAAGUGCGGAAGCGCAAAAGUAGUAUGCAAAGAUAUGUUGGUGUGGCAAAGGAAAGCUUAUAUUACACACAAAACUUCUUUACAAGUUGCAAAAGGUUGCCAAAGGUUGUAACAAGUAAAAGGGCUUGGCCUAUUUAUAGGCAAAAGCCAAAAUACUACAAGUGCCUAGAAUUCUCUACACAACCUUAUCUACAAGGUCAAAACUUAUCCACAUGGUCAAAGCUUAUCUACAAGAUUCAUGCAUCCUUAUCCUCAAGGUGUAUGCUUAUCCAUUAAGGACUUUAGAGAGUUCCACACAGUUCUAAAAUCCUGGUGUGUGGAACCCAGGCAGACAAGGCACGGCCGCAAGCGACUAGACAGGGUUGCGCGCGGGCGUGCUCGCAGAUGAGGCACGGGCGUGCGGGCGUAUGGGCACGGUCGUGCGCGCGGUUGCGUACGGUCCGUGUCAUCCUCCCCCACUCGACUCAAGGCAUCAUCCCUAAUGCCUUAGCCAUCCUCAUAGGCAUGUAUGAGGUCUUGGAAUUGCCACAAUUUUUCAGCUGGCUUCCAACUAAUCUCAGGCUCGGGUAGCCCACGCCAACGCACCUGAAACUCUUUUGAUGGUGCACAAUUCUUGUGUCGGACGAUACGAUCGGCUACGAUCUCUUCCGCAACCUUGUCGUACUCGUCCUUCAUGCCCACAGGUACCCUCAUUGAAAUAUUCCUUGCCGGAUCAUGUGGAUCCUUAUGAAACGGCUUGAGCAAGCUAACAUGAAAGACCGGGUGGAGUUGGGACAAAGCCUCGGGCAACUCCACCUUGUAGGCCAUAUUGCCAAUCUUCUUAAGCACUGUAAACGGCCCUUUAUAUCGUCGCAUAAGACUCUUGUGCACUUCGCGGAUAUGUCCGUGUUGAUAGAGUUUCACCAACACUUGGUCCCCCUCCUUAAACUCUCGAAACGAUCGCUUACAAUCCACCCACUUCUUCAUUCGUUGUUGGGCCUUCUCCAAGUAUAACUUGGCCAUUUUUGCUUAUUCUUGCCAAUACUUGGCAGUAUUGGCAAAAUGGUAGGCAGGAGAACUUGUGCAUUUGUAGCCUCCAAUGAUGUCCUUGGAGGUCGUCGGCUGGAACCCAAGAACAACCUCAAACGGACUCCUCCCAAUGCUUUCAUUUUUCUGAAGAUUGAAGCAAAAUUGUGCAGCAUCCAACAACUUUGCCCAAUCUCGUUGGUACACCGUCACAUAGUGCCGAAGGUAUAUUUCGAGCAUAUAAUUUACUCCAUCCGUAUGUGGGUGCAUGGUUGUGGACAUAUUAAGUCCUGAACCAAGCAAACGGAAUAACUCCUGCCAGAACCUCCCUAUGAAUCGUGAGUCACGGUCGCUCACGAUCGUUGCUGGUAGCCCCCAAUAUUUAACAACAUGGCUCAUAAAGAGCUUGGCCGUCACUUCGGCAGUGGACUCUUUCGGGGUUAGGAUAAACGUAGCAUAUUUAGACAAUCAGUUAACUAUGACAAAGAUGCUCGUACAUCCCUCGGAUUUAGGCAAUCCGACUUUGAAAUCCAUUGAAAUACUUUCCCACACACUUCCCGGUAUUGGCAAGGCUUGUAACAGUCCAGUGGGUGGUUCAUUUUCCACCUUGUCUUGUUGGCACACAAAACAAGUGUGCAUGUAAUCAUCGAUAUCGUCCCUUAAGCUCGGCCAAUAGUAGCAUUCUCGUACAAGUGACAACGUGCGAUAUGUACCAGGGUGGUCAGCAUAGCGGCUAUCGUGACAUUCCUUAAGAAUGUUCCUCCUCAGGUGCCCCCAGUCAGACACGUAAAUCCGUUGGCCUUUGGCGUAGAGAACCCCAUCCUCGAGCCAAAACUUUUUUGUUUUACCUUCGCUGGCUAACUCCAUAAGCGCUUGCGCACGAUCAUCAUACAAUAGUCCUUUCUUGAUGCGCUCUAAAAGUAGCCCUUCCAUCGUGUAGACUGGCGCGACGACGUUCUUACGACUAAGAGCGUCGACCACCACAUUUGUCUUGCUCGGACUGUAUUCAAACUGGUACUUGAACUCAGCCAAAUAAUCCAACCACCGUGCUUGCUUGCUUGAUAAUUUCUUUUGUGUCUGAUGGUAGCUCAUUGCUCUAUUGUCCGUCUUGAUUUUAAACGGUGUAGUGGCCUUUAAGUAGUGCUCCCAGAUUCGCAAGCAAUGCACGACCGCAAGCAUUUCCUUCUCAUGUAUCGGCUAUCGUCUCUCCACAUCGCUUAGUUUAUGACUCUCAUAAGCUAUCGGAUGGCUGUCUUGCAUAAGAACUCCUCUAACGACAAUGUCGGAUGCAUCUACAUACAUUUCGAAUGGCUUGGCAAAAUCAGGCAAUCCCAAGACCGGCUCUUUAGUGAUUGCAUCCUUCAAUGCCUCAAACGCUGCUUGACAAGGCGCCGUCCAAGUCCACGUCUUGCCUUUGCGCAGCAAAUCUGUUAGCGGAGCCGCAAUUGUGGAAUGCCCUACGAUGAAACGGCGAUAAUAAUUCACCAACCCAAGGAACGACCACAAUUUCGUGGGCAAAGUUGGCACUGGCCACUCGACAAUGGCCUUGGUCUUUUGUGGAUCCAUGCAGAUCUUACCGCCCCUUACAAUAUAGCCCAAGAAAGAGACUUUGUGCAAGCCAAACUCGCAUUUUUCCUUCCGGACAUAUAGCUUGUUAGCUCUUAAGACAGCAAGCACUUGUCUUAAAUGCUCAAUAUGCUCUUCCAUGCUACUACUAUAUAUGACAAUAUCGUCAAGAUAAACUACGACGAACUUAUCCAAAAACUCAUUCAACACUUCUUGCAUCAAUGUGCAAAAGGUAGCUGGUGCAUUUGUCAACCCAAAUGACAUCAUUUUAAACUCGUAAGAACCAUACCUAGUAGUGAUCGCCUUGAUUCGCACUUGAUAAUAUCCCUUGCGUAGUUCAAGCUUGGAUAGCAUCACUGCUGGCUGUAGUCGGUCGAACAAGUCCGCUAUAAGAGAUACAAGAUACUUGUUCUUGACCGUUAUCUUGUUGAGUACAUGGUAAUCGUUACACAUGCGCAAGGUGCCGUUCUUCUUACGUUGAAAGAGCACAGGCACACCAAAGAGACUCUUAGAGGGAAAGAUAGACUUUGACUCCAAAAGUUUUUCAAGUUGCUUCCGCAACUCCUCUAACUCCUCGGGCGACAUUCGGUAAGGUGACCGGGAGACGGGUUUCGCACCUUCUACCAGCUCUAUUGCGUGAUCUACGGCACGCCUAGGGGGAAGCUCCCUCGGUAGUUCCUCCGGCAGCACAUCUUCAAACUCUACCAAAACUACCUCAAUCUCAUGCGGGAUUGGCGCCGACUCCUUAGACUCGUACAGCGGCGGGUCUUCUUCACUAAAGAUGGCCGCGAAGGUCGGCUCAUUCUUACGUAGUCUCUUUUCCAACUGUCGGGGACUAAUUUCAGCUUCUCUACAUACAUUCACCACACAUGGCUUGUCUCUUUGUGUAAUGUAUCAGUAUGUGGCACCAAAAUCGGUCUCAACUGGUCGAGAAAGCGCAUGCCAAAGAACACUUCGUAGUCGUCGAUCGGCACCAUGAAGAAGCUAGUCGUACCCAUCCAUUGUCCCAAGCUUACGGGUACCUCCUUGGCCUCUCCCACGAGUCAUGUCCACUCCCCAUUAAUGCCUUUAAAACGGCCCGAUGCCGACACCCAAGCAAGGCCCAUCUUGUGCGUGGUGUCCUGACUCAUAUAGUUGACAUCCGCUCCUGUGUCCAGCAGAGCCAUCGUUUGAUGCCCGUUAAUGUGUGUGUCGAGGUACAUGCGAUCUCGAUCAUUUGUUGCCUGCACGGCCUCUGCAGGUUGUACACACGCAACCUUCCGUUCCUCCGUCAAGCUAGCUUGUUGCGCGACUGCAGCAAGGCUGUCACGACUUGGGCAGUCACGAGCAUAAUGAUCCUUGAUCUUACACGUAUAGCAUCCCUCGUAAUUCUUCCCCGGCUUCAAGUUGCUUGGGCCUCAUUCCUUUUGUUGGUUUCUAUCGGUCUGCGAUCGUGGGGCUUGUUUUUGCCGGUCUCCCCCACUCUUUCCAUUGCCCGGCUUCUUGCUCUUGUCCUUCGCUGGUUCCUUCCAUUGAAACUCAAUUAAACGCUAGGCUGCUUUCAUGGCUUGGGAGACAUUGCGCCGAUCCUUGUCCUCCACUCGUUGCUUAGCCCACGGUCGUAGGCCAUCAAGAAACGUAAACAAAGCAUGUGCGGGUGCCAUGUUUGGUAUCUCCAACAAUAAAUUGGAAAACUCGUCCACAUACUCCUUCAUAUGACCGUUCUUAUGCUGAAGAUGGCGGAGUUUGGCCCUUGCCUCAUGCUUCGCAUUGGCCGGCUCAAAUUCGACCUUAAUCUCGGCCUUGAACGCCCUCCAAGUGGUGAUAGCAGCCUCACCACAGCGUCCUUCAUCACUCUUACGUCUCCGCCAUAUCAAAGCAGAAUCCUUCAAAUAUAGCGGAGCCGUUCACAAGCGAGUCUCAUCACUUGCGAUAUCAAGGGCAUCGAAGUACCGUUCGAGCCCAUAGAGGAAAAUUCUCUAUUUCCCUUGCUUUCCUCGCACCACCGAAAGCUUCUGGAUGCAGAACUUCCAUUCUUGGUGCGGUCACAGUCGCACCACUUGGCCCUUGUGUAACGCCCCCACUUCUCCCUAAGGCGAACCAAAGGGUAUCCGCGGGACGCCUGCCCAGCUCUCGCCAGGACUCACUACAAUCCAUCAUUCAAAAGCUCGAAAUACUUUAAGUAACUUCAAUACAUAAUUAAAGUACUCCAAAUAUCUCACACUUACAAUUAUGCAGCUUCCAAGCUUAAUACAACCCAACGGAAAAGGGUACAAUAGCCAUCCGUUAUAAUAUAACUUAAAGUUUUCAAAAGAAAAUAAUCUAGUACUACUCACGAGCACCCUUGGUCUCGAACCCUGUAAAAGAAAACCACAACGUGGGAUGAGCUACACAGCCCAGUGAGGUUCCAAAACACUUUAACAGUUCAAAUAAAUCAAGUAAGUUGGGCAUAUCAUAUGCAUGGUUCAAUGUUACACAAUGGCGUGUUAUCAUGAGGUGAUAAUCAUUGUACGAGUAAUUUGAGACAUUUAUCAUGGUAUAUUUUAGUUUUUUUUUGUCAUUAAAAAAUCUUUAACCAGAACACAAAAACAAUAAAAAAAAAUCAUAACAUUUUCUAACCUUUUUUUUUUUUUUUUUGCUUUAAGUAUCCGGUAUCUUCACCUUCAUUGAAACUAAUCUCGAUUCAGCUCGAGGAGCACUUGCAGAGUUCAACUCUUAAUCGGGAAUGAAGGCCUAGUCCAAAGAUUUUCAAGGUGUCAUGUAAUAUGCAGGAGUCGGAAUUUAUGUCAAGUUUCAUGUCUGAUCAUAUUCAAUUAUAUACUUAGCGUGUACAAUGCUGAAAUUUAAGUGUCCUGGUAUUCACAUCUACUUUAAAUAGACAUUAAUACGGCAUUUCUAAUGGCACACCUAAUUUUCUUGAUUAAUCCAAACAUCAACAAAUAACCUCAAGUCCUGCAAAAACCUAAUUAGUUACAUAUUACUUUCUAAGGAAUUGUGUCCCACAUACAUCUCCUCUUGUCUAGAAUCAGUAUGAUUUUACAUAAGAGAAUUCCUUUGGUCAAUUAAUUUGUUUUAUCCUUUGGUCAAGAGAAUUCCUCUUGGCCUUUCCCAAAAAAAAUAAUAUGUUUUAUCUAACAAUAAUGUAAGCUAUAAUUACCUGAAGACAACGCAUCCACUGGUCCCCCAACACUGAUGAUAACAGAAAAGAUUUUGAAAAUCCUACAUCAAGCGAUAGAAACGAAUUAAUUAAUGUAUAAUCCACUUUCUUGAUUUUAGAAAUUAUUCUCAUAUUUAUAUGCAUCGCUUAAUAAUAUCGUGAUUUAAAAUCACUUGUUAUAAGUGGAAUCUUAUUUGAUAUAGCAAAAAUCUCAUGAGUUGCUUUAACAAUCAUCAUCUGUAGAAUGUAGAUGAGACUCAGGAUUAAAGCUUUGUUUUCGGUUGCUUUAGAUUUUACAAAAUCUAAUUAUAGAAACUGAUUAUAGAAUUAGCAAAAGCUAUUCUUUUGGUGAUUAUAGAUUUUGGGUUUUUUGGUCAUUAAAAAACCUUUAAUCAAAACACAAAAACUGAUUAUUCAAAAUUAGAAUCUAUAAUCAAUUAAAAUAAUCAACUGAGAAUAAACCCAAAGUCCACAAAAGUUGGACUAGGCAGUAAAAGCUAUAAGAACUUUAAAUCUAUAGUUUCUUUUCUUUUGGUUUUUUCCAGUGAAUCUCAAAGAUACAUUCAUAAAGAUGAAGGUAAGGAAAUUUCCCUCUUGUUAACCUCGUGCCAAAGGACUUCACAGCUUACAGUAGUAAUAUUUCUUGAAAGAGGAAAUAGACAUUUAUGCCAGUGGACAAACAAGUAAAACGUCCAUUCUGUUUGCCAUUUCUAACUUUCAGUUUCGUCAAAAAUUAUGUCUAAGUUUCAUGUCUGAUCAUAUUCAAUUAUACUUAGCAUGUAUAAUACUGAAAUUUACCCGUUUGGAUUGCAUUUUUCAUCAUUUUUCAUGGAAAAAUUACUGUAACGAUUUGAUGUAUGUGAGGGAAAAAGGUAAUAGGAAAAUGUGUUUACGGAAAACGACGUAAUUUUUCGAUGGAAAACAGCAAUCCAAACAAGGGUAAUCACAACUGCUUCAUAUCUAAAUAGACAUUAACACGGCACUUCUAAUGGCGCGCCUAAUUUUCUUGAUUAAUCCAAACAUCAACAAAUCACCUCAAGUCCUGGGAAAACCUAAUUAGUUUCUAAGGAAUUGUGACCUAGAUACUUCUCCUCGUCAAGAAUCAGUAUGAUUUUACAUAAGAGAAUUCCUUUUUGUCAAUUGAAACUAUAAAGCUCAAGUUCAACAUGAACCCAACCAGGUUUAUGUAAAGGUCUAGGAUGUAAUGUUUCAGCUGCUGAUUUUCCAAAAUCCCAUUUAAGUUGGCCCUCUAAAUUUGAUGAUAUUCUUGACAUUGCGUCCUUCUUUGAAGUGCAUGCAUUGUAAAUUCAAAGGGUGCUAAACGUAGCAUUUAUGAAGAUUCUCCCUUGAAGACACCCAUAGGCCUUGGAACUAGUCAAUUGAAUCUAAUAAAUUCAGGUAAUUUUUUGUUUACAAAGUAACGAAAAAUCAAGCGGAUUGAAAUUGUCCUUAAACUUCGAAAAUUUGUUAAGGGAGCAAAUAUCCGCAUUCUCAUUAUUGGGCCUUCUAAUUUUUUUCAAAUAACUUUUUGAUUUUCACUCUCCCAAGUCAAAUUAUCAGUAAUCACUAUAAAUUCCUUUUUUUUUUGGUUAAGUAAUCGACAUAAGUUCUAAAAAAAUUCAACAGAAAAUCUCUGUAACCUGCGGUAUUCAGAAGAAAUCGCUGUUCAGAAAAUGAGAUAAAAAGGUAAUUAGAAAAAUAAAAAGGUGUAUUAAAAAUUCUAACAAUAAUAUAAAUAAAUAUAUUUGAAAAAAUAAUCACCCGAUCGAUGUUUUGUAUCUCCAAUUAUUGUGGUGUAAAGCAUGCAACCUCAGACAAAUCAUUAAAGUUCCAAUUUGGUAGAAAAGCAAGUCAAGCUUUGCAAUACUGCUCACGCUGUGGAAUAGCAAGUAAAGUUGCACAACUUUAAUAAAGAAAUAAAUAAGACAACAAUCAUGACUCCUGACUAGCUGGAUUUGGACGCGUACAUGUCCCUUGUCAUAAUUGAAAUAGCAUCAUGACAUAUAAGGUACACUAUAUUAACCAUGCUAUUUAUUAAUGUUUUUUAGUCAAGCGACAAAGAAUUUGAUUCUCCUUAAAUAUGAUUUCGGAUUUUAAUCUUCUAAAUAGAGAAAAUAACAUUAGAAGACAUCCUCUGAAAGAGAUCAAGCGAGACAGUACUCGAUUUUAAAUUAGUCGAAACAUAAUGCAAUCGCGGGACACCAAAAGGUUUACAAUGACAACAAUACAUUGAGCAUUCUAUUUUUCAAGAUUAAUGAUAGACAAUUCGAGAGAGCUUUUUGUCAAUUGGAAUCACUCAUUUAUUUUAUUGAAUUUUGCCUGUGCCCACCAGUAGAAAACUCAACAGAAGUUUAUUUUUUAAGGAGCUCAUUUUUUUUUUUUUUUGAAUUUGAGCUCGAUUUCCAAUCAACUCUACGACUGUGAUACAUUAAUGGGAUGCGCAUCUGAUCUUAAAGUUAUCAGUUAAGAUUUUUGUCAAUUUGUUGUAUUUUAUCUUAAGGAUAAUUCCAGAAACCUCUCCUGAGUUUUUGAUAAUUUUACUAAGUUCCCUCGAGAUUUUUAUAAAUUACACAUGUUACCCGUAUUCAUUUGAAAUGAUAAUAGCCUUGACAUUUCAAUAAAACUCCUUGUUGGGUGUAUGCCUAUACAAAAAAUGAGUUUUUUUUUUUUAUUUUUUUCUUUUUCUCUUCUUAAUUAUCCUUUUAUAUAUCUUGCUAGUAAAGCCACGUAUGACAUAACUAUCAAUAUUGAUUUUAGCCUGUAUCAAUAUCAUAUGUUAGACUAGUGACUUUUUUUUUUGGGACAACUUUGCACGUGACCAAUUUUUUUUCAAUCUUUUUCUUUUAUAUCAAAAGCAACAAUAACUCUAAAAAGGAAAUCACCCAAAACUCCUUUCAAAUCAUAAUAGUUCCACUGGUCAAAAUUUCGAGAAGCUCUAAAAGAAUUAUGACAAUACCUUCUUCUCUAAUUAGAAAGAAUAUAAAACCACAAUCAACACACAAUGAAAAAUUGUUUAUAAUAAUAAUGGAAUUGUUAUUGUUGCUUAUCAAAUACUAAACGGGUAUUAGAAACUUGACACUAUUUUCUUACCAUUGUGCUAAAUUAUUUGGGAUAAUUAAUAAAAACUUUAUGAACUGAGAGCAUUUUAGGAUUUUCACUUAAAUUUUGACAAAAUGUAAGGUUUGGUUAUCAAAAAUGUCAAUUCAAGGGACGUAUGUGUAAUUUUUUAAAAAAUUUCAAAGAAACUCAGUGAAAUUGUCAUAAACUUCAGAAGAGAUUUAUGAUAUAUUAUCCCUUUCUCUAUUUAUAUCUGGUUCUUUAUUCUUUAGACACUUUAUUUUUGAUGAUUUAAGGACUUCCUUAAUUUUGUUUCACUCGAUAAUUAUAACACUUACUCAAAUAAAACAGGUAUAACUUUAUGGAAAGGAAGGUAAAAGGGGACCUUUACCUUUUUUCCUUUGCUUUCACAAGUAGAGAAGAGUGGGACAUGUGUUGUAAGUUUUUUUUUUCAUCUGAUCAUUAUCAUUCAUUGCCUACAGUGUUGCAUUUAGUAGAUCGUUUUCUCUGAAAUGCAAAUUUUUACUUACCACUUAUGCCAUCAGCCCUUGGAAACUUCUCACUUAUCCAACCACUUCUUUGGAAAAAAAAGAAAAUUUCAGUCAAAAGUUGAAUCCUAAAUGCAAAGCUACAAUAGUUUGGUGGGCUGUUGUUUGGUAUGCAUCAAUGUCGUGAAGACUUUUGAGAGCUGCUUUAGCUUUAUAUGCACAUCUGUUGACUGUUGCAAAGGAAAAUUUCCAAAGCAAUAAUGAAUGAACCUCUUUUUAACAAAGAACAUCAAACAACAUUGCAAGGAAGGUUCCUAAAUAACCUGUUGAAAGCAUUAACCCCACAAAAGAAAAGAAAAAAAAAAUAAAGAGGGGCACAAAUUUUAGUGGUGCAAACAUGAUAUGGAUAUUGGUGUCAAUUUCUUAUAGAGUCUGAGGGAUACCUUUGCUUGUGAAAAAAAAUUACAAUCAAUUUGAAGUUGACUUAGUCCAAAUCUUUUGAAAAGGCAACUCAACAAAUAGUGUUGAGACAUAAAUUAUCAUUCUAGUUGGCGGUCUUUUGGGUACUAUGACGACAACAACAUUAAGGUAGGGUCGAUUUUUUUUUCGUUGACGGUGUUCGGGACUUUGGCCCGACUAAUUUCCUGCGAUUCGGGAGAGGGCCCCCAAUCCUUUUCGAGUGAUUUUAACAGUGGGACUCGAAUUUUAGUGGACAUAUCAAAAAAACAAUCACAUCGAUUGACUACCCGUUGGAACCGAAGGUAGCGUCGAUUCACAUUGGGCAAUAGUGAUAAACAAGCAUAGGUGGCGUACAAUUGAAAAUUGUCCUAAAAAUAACUAAAUGAUUUAACUGUGAUAGAUAUGGGAAAAUGGACACCCUAAUUUCUUAAUAAUAGAUGUACAAACUCAAAUCCAGAGACAAUUUAUUUUCUUUUUCAAUCGAAAUAAGAGAUCGAUUUUUUGUGCUAAUAUAUACAUCCCCUGCUAAAUCGCAUUAUCUUCAUCAAGACCUAAUUUAGCUAGUAGAACAAUAAGUAUGUCAUUUCUAGUUAAACUCUCAACUUUACCCCUUUUCCCUUUUCUCUUUGUAAAGUUUGGAGUCUCUCUUGACAAAAAAAAAGAAAAAAGAAUCAUAUUUUGCAAUUUUAAAAAAGCAUGAUGUUAGUCUAAGUAAAUUAUUUUUUCCCCAAAAAGGACAGUCUAUAAGUAGCACAUACUUAAAUCUUUUGUUGGUAUGUUGUUGGGUAAAGUGGAUUUACCUUCAUGCCCCGCACAAUAUUCCCUGGUUCAAAUCUCAUGGCCAUGCCCAAAAUUGGUAUUUAUUAUUAUUAUUUUUUUGUCUGAGAUAAAUCAGUAUUUUUCUUGCUCUAAAUGUCUACAAAAUUUAUUAACUUAAAGUCUAUGGGCUUGGAACAGGCCCACAACAAGUUUUUGACUCCUACAGAGUGAAAAGACGAGUCCGGGACAAGUUGAAGAUCCAACAUUCCUUGCGCUUGUUGCGUUUAAGAUCCACAAUGAUACUCCAUUCAAAUUGUUAGUUCCAAUUCGAAUUUUUGGACUCGAGCUCAAAUUCAGUUAAAAUCUUAUAAACUCAAAUUCGGCUUUAUAUUUGAUAGGCUUGAUUCGAUUCUCAACCUAGAAAUUUAUUUAAUUAAAAUAUUAGAUUAUUAGUGUUGCAUAUAUAAUAUCGAUACAACAAAUUACACAUGUAUAAUUUUACAUAAAUAAUAAUAAAUAUUUUAAAUAAAAAUAUUUCAAUAUACAAGAUUUAAUGAACCGAAUAUAUACAAAUUCAAAUUUGAUUUCGAUACUUUGAUUGAAUUUUAAUACUUAUUUGAAUUCGAGAUCGAAUGCAUUAAAGUCAAACUAAAAUCAAGCCCUUAAUGAAUUAAUUGAGUUUGAAUCAUCAUUAAGGGUUUGGUUUGUUUGUAACCAACUAUCAAGACUUAUUUUAGCUAACCCAAAUAAAAUUUGAACUUUUUUCAGGUGGUUGAUUAUAAUUUUUUUUUUUGUAAAUGAGGUUGACUAUUAUAAUUAUACAACCUAAGAAGUGCAUUUAUAUGAAUUAUGAUGGUUUUUUUUUUUCAUAAGGGAAAAAUUUUGAAAUACGGGUGCUUUUGUUUUGGACUAGAUUACUUUUUUUAAUUAGAAAAAAAAAAGACAAGAUGAUCUUUGUUUCCCUUCCAAAGGAAAAACUUUUUUUUUUUCCUUCGGAAAGUUUCCAAAGAAAAAGUUGAUAUUGAAAGGAAGUUUAUUCAGCAAAAUAUAUUAAGAUAAUACCAUUAGUAGUUAUGUGGUAGAAACAAUUUGCUGAUAUCAAUUAACCAAUAUGCAAUCAAUUAGUUUACCAAUAAAAUUUGUGUUUUAUUAUAACUGCUCUACGAGUAAAUUUUGGUCUCCUAACUAAUAUGUUCAAGAUUAGUCCCAUUUUUGUUGUUGGUUUUUCUAAUGGUAAGAUAAGUAUCAUUUACUUUAACAAGAAACAAUUUACGAAAUCCUACAAUAAAAUAAGUGAACUUCAAGCUCCAACCACACAUGAAGAAGGAAUAUAAUGGAGUAUAAAAGUCCAAAAACGAUCAUCACCACAAGAAAAAGAAAAAUGCUAAGAAUAAUCCUACACCACCAAAUUCUGAUAACCUAUUUUAAAAUGAAAAGGAAAAAAGGUCAGUUCGUGGGUAUUGUAUAUAAAAACCUUUACUUUUCAUAUAAAGAAUAAAAAUUAAAGGCCCAAAAUAAAAUAAAAUUUUCUAGUAUAUUAAAAUUAAAACGAAAUUUCAAAAACCUUCCUUGAGAUUUUUAACUAUUUCACUAGCUUUCCCUUUAGAUUCAAAAAUUAUACUAACCUCUUUUGAAAUUAAUUAUCUUGUAACAUUUAUGUCCCAAUCAAUAAUUAAAAAGUGAUAUUAGAAAGUGAAAAUAAUUGAUUUCAUCAUUGUCCCUCAUUUGCUAUAUUAUUUAAUUAAUUUAAUACAAACUCACACAUUAAAGAAAAACACCAAAAAAUUUACUGUUUAUCAUUAGAAAUCAAAUCACAUAAUAUCAAAAAAUAUUUUAGUUACAUUAAUAUCAAAGAAUAUAUUAUCAAAAAAUAUUUUAUAAUAUCAAAGAAUAUAUUAUUUAUAUUCUUCAUUUAAUAUAAGAUCCAAAUUAUUCUUUUUUAGUUACAUACCCAUUGUCAAAGAUGAUCAACAACCAAUAAUCAAAAUAUUUCCAAUCAAAAUAUUACAGUGAACAAACUUUAAUAUCAUAAACAUUCUUGUUAGCAUAUUGCGGUUAGUCAUUAAGUUUUUAUGGUAUUGAGGUUCACUUUUUGUAAUAUUUUGGUUACAGAUUUUUUUGAUUAAUUAUUGUUAAUCAUAUUUGACAAUAGAUUUGUAAUUGAAAAGAGUUAUUUGAAUCUUAUAUUUAGUGAAAUAUAUACAAUGAUAUACUCUUUUUGAUGCCAUAUGCGAUUUAAUCCCUAAUGAUAAACAACAAAUUUUAAUAUAUUCUUUAAUAUUUGGACUGAUAUUAGAUUAACUAAAUAAUUUAGUAGACGACGGGCAACGGUGGAAUCAUGUUAUCUUUUCUCGUAAUAUCAAUUUUUAAUUGUUGAUUGGAUCUAAAUAUUACAAAAUAAUAAACCUUAGGGGAGAUUAGUGCAGUUUUCAAAACUUGAAGGGAGCCAGUGAAAUGGUCAGAAACCUCAAAGUAGGUUUCUAAAAUUAUCCCAUUUCAAAAUUAUAAAUCAUAUUUCUGGCUGGAAAGAACCACUUAUCAAUGGAACUAAUCUUGGAACUUUUACAACCACUGCUGCUUCAAUUUCUUCCCGAUCUUUAAUCAUCUCAAAUCCCCCAAUCGAUUCUCAGGUACUGGAACUCUUCACCACCUUAAUAAAAAUCCGGAAAAUAAUCAAUUCUCAAUUGAUUUAUCGGCCUAAGUUUGAUCAUUUUGAUAUAUUAGGAGCUUCCAUGGAAGUCUCAAAAAUUGCUGAGACCAACUGAAAAGACCGGGUCUUUGGUGUCCCUUUGUCGUGUAAAUAAAGUUUACUACCAUAAAAAUGCUUCCCGGAAGAAGAAAUUUGAUCUCCAACCAGUUUGGAGGUUUAAUAAAAGAUUCACUUUUCAGCAAUGUAGCAAGAGUUUGAGUAAAUUGUCAGCAAAAUUUAAUGAAAGAUUUCUUCUUUCCUUCUGCCGGGUGGUUUGUGGAGUAAUGUUGGCUGUGACACUUUCUGCUGCUGUUAGCAAAAGUCCUUGUUGUAAGUGUUUCUGCUUGCCUGCAUUGCUGUUUUAUAAUAUACCCAGUUUUCCUAUAAGUUGACAUUAUUGCAUAUUUUUAGCUGACAUACAGUGAUGAAGUUGUUAUUACCCCUUGAUUAUGGCCCUUUUUCUUGAUGUGGCAAAUGCAUGUUUGGUGUUUUUGGUUUUGUGGUUAUAUAAUUAUUAUUGAUGGGAUAUCCUAAAAUGACAUGAAUAAAACAAGAUGUAACUUUUGUUAGUGUUUGUUAACUGUUCUUUGAUGAUGAAUGAUUUGAUGAUGUACUUUGUUGAUAUGAUUAAGAAUGGUACACUGUAGGGCCUUGAGUGAAAAAAUCUUCUUUUUCUGGAAGCAUGGAGAACAAUUGAUAGGGCUUAUGUUGAUAAACAUUCAAUGGACAGAGUUGGUUUAGAUACAGGGAAAAUGCGCUGCGCAACGAGCCAAUGACCACUCGAGAAGAGACAUGUACGAAUUUGAUCUCCUUGAGCUGUAAUAGGUAGAUAUACCUGUCAUUGCAUAUAAAUUAGUAUGGUAGAAUCAGCAUGUUUCCUUGCAUCCCUAUGUGAUGGUCAAAAAAUUUCUUUAACCAACAGCAUCCACUGAGUCAAUAUUGUGUUAAGAAAUUUUGUAGGAUUAAUAUAUGGUGGUUAUCAUUUGCUGAACGGUUGAUUACUAGCUUGUCUUUUCGAUACAUUUGUGCUUUCUUUGGGUGAGAGGACAUCUGCAUAUCUUUACAUGGCCAAAUGAACAAAUAUGGACCUUGUAUUGUUUUAUAGUUUUCUCAUGGGGAACUCGAGUUUCAUUCUACUUUCGCCCUAUUGUUUACAUAGUCUUUCUCAGCUACUAUAAAUUUCUGAAGCUAACAUCAUGAUGUUUUACUGCAUAUGGUUUAGAAAAGAUUAUGCAUUUCGAACAUCUGGGAAAUUUCCAUUAAGUUUUAAAUUUGUAUACCUACAAAAAAAUGCAAUUUUGCAGAUCUACAAGCUUGGUCCUAAAGAAAGAAAGAAAGAAGAAAGAAAGAAAGAAAGAAGAAAAAGAAUACUAAAGCUGAAGAAUUUGUAUUUCUUGUUUAUACUCAUUGGUACAAUUUUCUUUUACCAUUUAUAGAAUGUGUCGCCUUUGUUCACUUCCUUUCAGAUGCAGCGAUAAAGGAAGAUGAUUUCUACUUUAGAUGAUCCUUUCAGCCGGUUUCUGGAGCCUGAAAAGUUCAAGAAUCUGCGGGUAUGGAGCUCUUAACUUCUGUUUCCUGUAUGCUAUAUUCAGUUUGUGUGGCAAAUUAGCUUGAACAAUCAUUGAUUUCACCGAUGCUCCCUGAAAUUAAAAAGUCUUAAACAUUCUUUGAAGGCAGUCAGGAACACAAAGUUCUCUGACUGGAGUAGGGCUGUCAAUUGGCUAUCCUACAGGAAAGGAUGGAUUAUCCUCUGGACUGGUGGUUAUUUCAGCUGCUCCAGGAGUCCUGCAUAUAGAGCGGAAUUUCUCCUGGUGAUUUGAUCCUGGCAAUUGAUGAUAAAAGUACAGAAGCAUGACCAUUUAUGAUGCUGCUGAGCACUUGCAGUGAGUUUGUUUUAUACAAUUGCCUGCUUUAUCCAACAAUAAAUGAAGUGGGGUGGGCCAUUGCUUCUUUAACUGAAUCAUACAAGAUAUUCCAGGAGAAGGGAUUGAACUGACAUAGAGUUUUUGUUUUCUCAUUACAUGAAUGCGAAAAAAGGGAACAACUGAAAUUCCACCACCCCAAAAAAAGAAUGUGAAAGAUUUUUUUUUUUGGGGGGGGGGGGGAUGGGGGGCAAAAGAGACGAGCAAAACAAACCAAUAGAUACCUGGACUUGUAUCAUGUAUUUAAUGUCCUUUCCUGGAUAAGCAGUGAACUAAAGAUUCGAGAUUUUUUUUAAUGGAAAAUUUCAAGUGGCUGUGUGGGUCUAAAUUUGAGCUGAAUGCAGGGGACCUGAAGAACAGGAGUAGACCUAACUGUACGUCAGGGUUCAGAGAUAAGGAAUGUCCCUUUGAUGUACGUUGACCAUGUUUGCUUUAUUUUAAACAAUUAUUAGCCUAAAAUGACAUGUUCUUUGUCUGAAUUUUCAUGCCAUUAUCUUUGCGUUGGCUUUUUCUUUUAAAUACCGCAUCAUGGAUUUUGCUUGAUCAAAAUAUGUACGAAUUAGUGCUCUCCAUUGGUAUAAGUUGCAUAUAGUAUCAGAUUUUUCAAAAAAUUGGUCUUCAUGUCUGAAGUUCCUUUUGACUUUCUUUUUGGAGGAAAAGGGGCACGAAGGACAUGAUUUACUACUUGAAGAGAUUGAUUGGAUAUAUGUUUAUUGGCAUGCUUUCGAUUCACAUGCUUGACACUUUACGAAGUCCUAUUUUAAACUUUUACUCAUUGAAAAAAAUUACUGCUGCUUUUCAGACGCGAGAGAGUUUCACUGAAUCUGUGAAGUCAAAAAUUUGCAAGACUCCUGGUAUGGGGAAGGACGGCGCUCGGGUUGGAUAUAUCAAAUUAACAUCUUUCAACCAAAAUGCAUCUGGUAUAAUUUAGCUUAUUUGACAUCAGAUUUUGAAAAUUAUUGAGUUCAUAUAAUCUUUUCUUCUGCUUGAGAAGCAAUCUUUAUUGUCUUGACUUCUACUUGGUAAUAAUUCACUUUUACAAAUCUUCCCUAACAUCCUUCGAGCCUUUGGUUAUUGUUCAAUAUGAAAAUCCUUUUAAUAUCUGUUCAAUCUAUGAAGAAUCCUUUUAAUAUCUGAACUUUGUCAUUCUGCUAUUUUGAACCAUUUUCAAUGUUGUUACUUUACUAACAAUCUGCUCUAAAUGUUUUGGUUCCCUUCUGAAACAUCUUCUGUUCCCUCACAUACUGGAACGUGGUUUUGGUACCUAUAGCUAUAUGUAACUUGGGAAAUAUUGUGUCCUUCUGAAUUCAUUACUACUUUGUCUGGCCUUUGAAAUAUGGUCUUCAAUUUUGCCUCAGAGGCAAACAGCAUACUAAUAAAAGUUUCUUAUUGAAAAUAAACUCUUGUUCUUUGAUGAUGCAGCUAUGCCUCACUAAGGGCAGAGGGCAUGGUAAAUUCCUUUGUCUUUGUCGUCAUUGUGCUAUAUAGUGAUCUAUUUAGAUAAUAUAUCUCUUUAAUCCUUCGUCUGCCAAAUAUCCAUUUUAGGUGCAGUAAAAGAAGCAAUUGAAACUCUGAGAAAGGACAAUGUCAGUGCCUUUGUAUUAGAUCUCCGAGAUAAUAGGUGACAUGCUUUUGAUGUGCUUCAUCGUAGAUUUAUUCCAUUGUUUUGCUUUUGAUGUGCUUCAUCUUAUAGUUAUUCCACUGUUUUGCUUUCUAAAAAACUAAAAUUUUGGUGCAGUGGUGGUCUUUUCCCAGAAGGAAUUGAGAUUGCCAAGAUUUGGUGAGUUUCUUACUGCAUACUUGCACACAACAUUAUUUCAGUUGUUUUUUUUAUAUUUUAUGCUUCUUGCUGUUAAGUACUUCAUAGCGUCUUUCAACAGUAGACUAAGUUAACAUUAGAUGUUUAACUAGGUAUGAAAUCCUUGAAGUGUUGUAGCUUUCUUAACCCCUGUCAUGAGUAUUUGGUAGAUGUUUUAACAUUAUUUCAGUUCUUUUUGUUUAUAUUUUACGCUUCUUACUGUUAAUACUUCAUAGCAUCUUUGAACAGCAAACUGUUAAUGUUAGAUGUUUUAACUAGUAUGAAAUCUUUGAAGUUUGUAGCUUUCUUAAACCCCUUGUCAUGAGUAUCUUUUGGAAGGAAUGCAUGCUUAUCAACUUGUUCAUUCGUCCUUGCAUGUAUCAGGAACUGAUUUUUUAACAAGUUGAUUAUUUUGCUUGGAAAAAAAUCUUCAAAAUCACCUUACUCCCUCUGCUUCCUGUUCCUAACCAGGCUGGACAAAGGAGUGAUUGUGUACAUCUGUGAUAGUCGUGGUGUUCGAGAUAUAUAUGAUACAGAUGGAAGCAAUGCAGUAGCAGCUUCAGAGCCUCUAGUAGUGCUGGUACGCUGAGCAGUUUCUCAACACUCAAUUUUAAGCUCGGCAAUUUGAUUGAAUAUUUCCGUUCACUAUACAAUCAGCUACUAAAUUGUAUGAAAAAGAUCCCUAUGCUAUUUACUGUGUUUAGCUGAUAGAGUUGGUUUGCUCGAGACUCAUAACUUCAAGGAUCUAGAUUCCAAGUCCUGAUACCUUAACUUGCUCGAUGAUAUCCUACAACUGAUAUAAACGUAUAAAUAUAAACAUAUAAAUCAGUUUUCUGUUUGUGUUUAUACUUGAAAAAAUGGAAAGUUGGGCAUUAGAGUUUCUAUGUUACUGUUGGGCUGGAUAUGAUUUUGGGUGGGAUGUAAAGCUUAUAAUUUAGCAUUGUUAUGACUUGUGGUAACCAAAAGUUUCUCAAAGAGUUGCAAUCCAUCAUUCGAAGUUAAUAAAGAUCGAGAGCGGAUUUCAGAUUACAAUUAGAUAUGAUGUUUUUAUUCAUCCCUGAAAAGGAAGUCAGUCAAAAUCUUUGAUGGAAUUUAUCGCUCAACACUUCAUCCAUCUCAAAUGUUGUGGCAGUUGAUCUGACAUAGUGUUUUGAAAACCCAUUAUGUUCAAACCCAGGGAUCCUGCUGUUUGAAUUACAAAAUUUAGUUGCCAAUUAUCAGAACAAAAUAUUAGUAUCUGUUCCUUUUCUUCUCAUUUUCUUUCCCAUGCUACUUGAAGGUGAAUAAAGGAACUGCCAGUGCAAGUGAAAUUCUGGCUGGUGCUUUGAAGGAUAAUAAGCGAGCUACGCUUUUUGGAGAACAAACUUUUGGAAAAGGGUGGGCUGCACAUACUUUUUACUCACAUGUUGGUACUUCUAUCAAAAUGUUAUAGUAUUCUUAUGUUGUUCUAACUAGGCUUGAUUGCUUCCUAUGUACAGCAAGAUUCAGUCUGUUUUUGAGCUAUCUGAUGGCUCUGGCUUGGCAGUAACAGUUGCUCGUUAUGAGACUCCAGCUCAUACAGAUAUAGACAAGGUCUAUCAUGGCACAUAUUCCAUGUCUUCUUAUAAAAGAAAAUCCUAUUGUCUGAUAAACAUAAUACAUUUAUUAUUUAUUGUAGAUUGGCAUAAUCCCGGAUUAUCGUCUUCCAGCAUCAUUUCCUAGAGAUGAUGAGAGUUUUUGCGGCUGCCUUCAGGACCCAGUCUCUGCUUGCUAUCUUGACGAAGUUAAACUCUUCGCAAGAUGACAGAAUCCUUCCAAAUGUGGUCACUUUGGAUUCUUUUGCAACUGUAGAUAUGCCGGCAGAGCGAGCUGACAAAUUACUGGUUUAACGUGCAAUCUUACAUUGUUUCUCCCCAAUUGGGAAAUACAGAAACUCCAGACUUCUCGCUUCGGGUGCGCUCUACGAGGAGUCGAAGACCCCCCCCCCUUUUUUUUUUGCUUUUUUCUUCCUGAGAUUUGGCCCUUUGAAACUAUAGAAAGAGGAAUUGAUUGAGCCAUAAAUUGUCCGCUGAUGUACUCCAAAUCUAGAACAUUUGUCUCAUGCUGUAAUUCCCUAAGCACAAUCCUUCAUUUGGAUGGGUGGAAUUGUUGUAACCACACUGAUACAAAUAUUAGUCCAAAACCCUGCAAGGGAGCCAGAAGCACCAUAACUUUUGGUACUGUGGGAUAUUAAAGCAAUAACUGAUUCUUCUUUCUCCGAUGAUACAAAAGUUUCAUUCAGAUGUUAGAGCUGCAACUAUUUUUAUAAUCCAAUUGGGAUUUUCGGGAGAAAUUUUGUAAUCAUUGACAUAUUAAAAUCAGCUUGAUGGCCUUAUUUCGUAUCAUAAACCUCUCAAGCAUGGUUGUAACGUUAAACUGGCUGGAGGAAUAAGAUACCACCCUAAAUUCUCCUACACCAGUGGUACGCGAACUAUUGAAUCUGGCGUAUGAGAAGUUCCAUGACAAAACAGAAAGUGAACAAAAAAAAAAACAGAUUAGUGCAGUUGCAUACUAAUUUAAGAUAUAUCCUGGAUUAUUAGUCUUGCAUAUCUGUUGUUUUGGAUUGAUUCAGAGGUGGAACUCGUCAGGGCUGCUACCCUGGGUUAGGGUUGGGUUGAGCUAGAGAAAAGGUGGAGUCACAAGUAAGGCACUUUAUGUUUGAACAGCAACUCCACUUCCAAUCUUUGGGGCAUUCUGCAUCAAAUAAGAAUCUUGAGAGUUUCAAGUCCAAAGGCUACUUGAGAGAUGACAUUUAUCAGAAAAUGCUGAGACUAGAAAAGCCCUAUAAUGCAAUGUUGAUUUGAGGUAUAGACUUCGGUUCCAGCGUCCCCAUAGCUGACAUUCUUUCCCCAGUUGAGUGCCAGUAAAACGCACCAACUACUGCAUCGACUGGCGUUGGUUCAAUUCUGGUAUAGUUUUUAAUCAACGAUACCAAAACAUAGCCUUGAAGUCAUCCUACAAACCCAAGGUUUCAUUGUAGAUUCAUAACCGUACCUACAUGUAUGUAUUGUAAAAUUGCUUGUAACUUGUCUUUCCCAGCCUUUUAGGUUUCACUGACCAAAGUGAAAUAUGCGGGAAAUGACACCAAAUAGUGCUGCAGAUUCAAGAAAUUUUUUUUUCGCUAUAACUACAGCAUCUUAGCCAAAAAUGGGAAAACCGCGAUGAGCAAUCUCAACAACAAAGGUGUAUCACUUUUCUCAGUUCUCAUACUCAACCUACCGUUCUCUGGAGGUGAAUUCUUUGAUUUGCCUACACUUUGACCUGAACUACUUGAAGAUCCUAUAUCAAACUCACUCAAACCGUCUAACUCAUCCCAUCCGCCAAAUGUUGGUGCAUUCUUUUCAACUUGAUCAGUUGAAUCAUCAUGUCCAGGAACCCAUGAUUGAUACCCCAUCUUUGCUUUUUUCUUCCUGGAUUUGUUGCUCUUUUUUCUUUACCCCGCUCGACAGUUCUUGAAGAUCGGGGAUAUGAUCUACUCUUAGUCUUGGUCUUGUGCUUUGGUCUCUUGUCUUUCCCACCCCGCAUCUUUUGGAUUGCAAAUGAAAAAGUAGACUGCCCAAGAGGAAGCGCUAAAGCCAUAAGAAAUGCUUUCAGACCAGUUGCUAGCAGUAUUGAAACAAGGAUGAAGGGAAGUGCCCAACCAAACGAUCUGAAGACCUGCCCUGGCCAACAAGAGAUUUUUUAAAAACACAACUUAGACCAGUUUUAUUCCAACUUGAAACCAAAAGCUGUGGAAAUGUCUUUAUUUGGAUAAUGCAAAGUGUAGCUUAAUUUGAAGCAUUAAUUGGAUAAAACCUCAAAAGAGUACAUUUGAAGUGCUAUAUUGCUUAACAACUCAUGGGUAGAAUCGAACUUACUCUACUUAAUUACAUGUUACAUGUGAGGAAUGCAAAAUUUCACCAUUGAUCACCUUCAAUGUGUUGGAUUUGAUACUUGCAAGUCCUUGCAUUCUAUUAACAUUCUAUUUUUCCAGCAUUCCAAUUAGACACUGUUUGACCUAUAUUUAGUUUAAAAUUUAGCAUGCAUCAUAAACUCUCAAGACAUUUAACAAUUCAAUGGUAAAAUUUUAGAAUAAUAUGCUUGUAGAGUUUACAAAAUAGUAGUUACACUUGAUGUAAUUCAAUUCCUUUUCUGAAUAUCAUGGGUAUAUUCUAAAGUUUCACCAAUUGUUCCCCAUUGUAAAGUCGGUUUGACCUCUAUGAAAAAUUUUAUGUUGCGUAGCCUUUUACCAAAUAAAAAUCGGAUGAUAAAGGCCGAUAGUACUUUUCUAGCAAAGACCUUGAGGCUCCAUCUGACAGCAUUCUUUGCAUACAUAGCGAAGUGGAAGUGGUCUCUUCAUCUAAGUCCAGAAUUUAGUAAUGACUGAAUGUAGUCUAGUCACUAUUAAAGGAAACAUGAGUUGGAAAAAGUUAGAUGUCUAUUUGGUCUGCAGAAAAUUGUCAUGUAGCUAUGUGAAGAAUGCAGGGGAAGGUAUAAAGUAAUACAUGUACUACAGUGCACAAAAGUACAAUAUGCAGCAGAACAGCCAAAAUCAGCAAUUUAUUUGGAAUUCUAUGUUAUUGCAGACUUCUCAUUUGCAAUGAAUUAGAAUUGGAUUCCCAACAGAUUUGGUUCUUUGUCACAGUAAAUUUGUUUGGUAAAGGAUGCAGGAAAUUAGGAAACACUUUGAUCAGGAGAAAUCGAGUUAGUUUUAGUUUCUUCCCUUCCUCAAUGUUUACCUUUUCUUUUGCAAUUUCUUUUAGCACUUAUUGUAGGAUCAAGCAUAGUUACAUCAUCAACUGCAAUUAGCAUCUGAUUAGCUAAAUUCUUAAGUACUCAUUUUUCUGUACCACUACAUCAAACUCAAGGAAGUUGAGCUUAAGUACUUACGUAGCAGAUAUUAAAGGAACCAUUUACAAGAGAAACACUUCAAAAAUAGUGCCAGUUAAAACUUUCAUUCAUCCAACAAAACCAUUAGCAUGAACAAUUCCUCUGAGUCCAUGCUUAAAAACAUUAUUAACUUAAUAUGGAACUGAAAACUUCCAUUUCAACACAAGAAUAAUCAUUCUCUUAUAAGAAAAGCACAGAAAAACAAAGAAAGGAAUACCUUAAUAAUCCAAAUACUGUCAAUAUAAUCUUCAAGAACCCCCAGCCCUUGUUCCACAAUGUCAUCAUUUCCAGUGUCAUCAUCAUCUUCUUCUUCAUCAAAAUUAUGAUUGAAGUUCCGGGUUCUGAAAGACUCUGCAUUGGAGUCCCACCUGCGACACCUGCAAAUUUGGAGCACUGGUUGGAGAAGAAGAUUAUGGUUGUACGGUAUAGUAGUGGUUGCGGUGGACGUGAGCUGGAGGGGUGGCUGCCAACUCCCUGGUGGUUGUUGACGGUGGUAGUGGUGGUGGAGUAUGAGAAGUGGAGGAGAGGGAGAAUGACACGGUUGGAGGUGAAGACCACAAGUGUUAGUGGUCUUCAUUAGUCGUUAGUCGUUACCAUCCUCAAGCUUUGGGAAAAGGGAUCGUUCUGAUAUUAGCUUUUGUCCCCAACACAACUUAUAUUUACGCAUUUCUCUCCUGUCAUCUUCUUUAUAUUUACCCUUGUGAUUGCAACUUUAGAUUUGGGAUAAAUAAACCAAACCUCAUGGAUUUGUGAGGAGGGGACUUUGUUAUAGUUAUACUAAACUCGAGGCUCCGCAUGGAUUAGACAGGUGUGUGUGAAAAAUUUUUACUGUAAUUUUGUUAUUUGUAUCUUAAUAAGCUAUAUGAAUACUCUUUUUUGUAUUUUUUAUUUUCCAAGCACACACAUUUUGUUAAUCUAAGUGUGCUUGUUCAUAUUUAUUGUUACCAUUUAUAAUUAUGCACUUUCUUGAUUUAAUUUUUUUUAGAAACUAACAUCUCAUCAUUGAGGUCAAAGAUGAAGAGAUAGUUACUUUAGAAAUUUUGCAACUCAUAACUAAUUAAUGUCAAAAUUAACUGUCCAAAUUGAUUUGGUUAGCAAUUUUACGUUCUCAUAAUCAUGAGAUCCCAUUCUUAUUCGAUAGUAUAGUAAUUUUUUUUUGUAAUCUUAUACAUUAUUUCAAAUGGUUAAUGAUAAUUUCUGAAAUCUUUCUUUCCAAUCCUAAGAAUUUCCUAACUUUCUCCUUAUUAGCUCCUCUUCUUCUGCACAUUCUAGUGUGCAACCAAAUAAGACUUGAAGCAUGGCUGUUAAUAGUUAUCAACUAAAAAAUUUUGAGCUCAUAUUUUUGGUUGAUAACACCAAAUUAAUUAAUAUUAGCUUGGCCUUAUGUUACAUAAACUUUUUUUACUAAACAUAACACAAUUUGCUAUCGAAUUAUGUUGAAUGUAGAGCAUUUUAUACUUUUAGUUUUUGUAUGUUGAUAGGAAAAUAAUAAAAACAAUAAAGUAAAGCUUUAAAAAAAUCACCAAUUUGUCUCCUUUUAAUUUAAAUUAGGUUAAAUCCCUUAGAAUUGGAAUUUGGCAUAAAGUGAUAACCAUUUGAAAUUGAGGAGGUGUGGAAGAGUAGUCCAACUUAUCCAAGAGAAUGAAAGGACAGAGAAUUACUCAUGUGGUGCUACUACAAUUGUUAGAACUUGCGGUCUCCAAAGUAAAUUACAAGCUUCCGUCAGGGACUGCACUCAAAUUUUAUGAAAAUCUUCAUCCCCUUCUUUUAAAGUCCAGAAUCUUCUCUUCUCGUUCCCACAAUAAUAAAUAAUUCAGGAAAAAAAAAUCAGAAAAAAUCAGAGGGAAAGAUUAUGAAGCCAAUGCCGAUCGAUUUCUUUGCGGACCUGGAGGAGCAAGGAACAACCGUCGCUAUGGACGUGGACGAUGCUGAAGCCCUAGAGAUCUUCGGCGGCGGAGAAGGGCCUAUCGCCGCCAUGGAACACCACCGUCUCGCCGAUGCUGAUUUCUUCAAUUCUUUCCAGGACGACUUCGACGACUCCGACAUCAACUAAAAUAAUAAUCAAUUGCUAGUUAUUACCAGUCCUUAAUCGCCCAUCCCAGGGUUUUGAAUUUUCGGUUUCUAAACUCUAAUUACGUAUGUUAUGUGAUUAGUUAUGAGGCUGUUGAUGGAAUGGUGGUUUUGUGGAUGUUGGAUUAUGGAAUUUUAUAAAGAUAAUUGAAUUAUCCGCUGCUGAAGUUUUUCAAUUUGUUUUUGUUCUCGUAUUUUUUCUGGUUGUUUAUUUGAAUUCUGUGGGUAUUAAUUACUUCUUUUUGCUAAUUUCUAGUUUAAGCUGUGGGAUUGGCGUCUGCAUUUUCUGGACAAAUUUACUGCCUGUUAAGACUUCAUUUGCAGGAAUGUAUGCUUUCUCCAAAGCAGUAGUUUUGUGGGUUUUUAUUUCUAAGGAAGUUUCAGCAACUAGGUUUUAAUGAAUUGGCAGGAACGAAUUCAAC